UUUUUUUUUUUUUUUUUUUUUUGUCAAUCGUCAACCCUACUCCUAUUUCUACUCUAUUCUAACCUAACUAGAGGGGAGACCCAACUGGGCCUAUGGGGGGACCGAUGAGGACAGAACCACCACCAGACCAGAUGGGUGCACCACGCACCCAUCUGGAUUUUUUGAAGAACCCCAACUGUGGCAAAUUGGUGGGAGGCAAGGUUCGAACCCUUGCCUCCCACCCCACCAAAGCCUUAAAGGCUUGGUGGUGGCCAUCAGCCUAAGGCUGAUGGUUUAAUAGCCUUUCUAGUUGCUGAAUAUUUUUUUGUUUGUGGGGUUUUGCGGCUACUCAAAUGGGACUGGGAAUCCCACAAUUAUUGUACAGGAAGCGGUUUAGGACAAUCUGACCUACAACAUUAAAGAACUUUCUAGUUGCUGAAUACUUUCCGGAAUGUUGUCUUUUAAGGCUUUAAAUUAAACUAACCAACAAAUGAUAAUCGAGUCACUGCUUCAUGAAUGUCCAGUGUCCUUAUCGUUAAUUGCUAUGGGGUACUUUGCUCAAAUCUGGGACUUAUAAAGUAAUUAGCGAAUUUCAAAAUAUAUUAAUACAACUAUUAGUGAUAAAUAGCUAUGCAAAUUACGUAACAUGUAUAAGAAUUUCCACAAAUAAUUAGUGCUCCUAUUUAAUGGAAGAAACAACAUUGGGAAUCCAAAUAUUAUUUUUCAUUUACUUCUGCAACUGAUACAUAAAAACCUUAUACUCCCUCCGUCCCACUUUGACAGUUCUGGUUCUUUUUUUACACAGUUUAAAAAAAAGUAGUUAAUUUUAUUGGAACAAUCAAUUUAGGUAGCUAUUUUCCUAAAAUACCCUCACAUUAAUUAGAGUACAAUUUUAUGAGAACUUGAAUUGAUGGUAAAAAAGGAAUAAACUCUCAUUAAAUGGGGUAGGUUUAUAGUAAAAACAACUUACAUUGAAUAAGGGCAUUUUAGAAAAAUUAAAAUGCAACUAUAUUCUUCAAUCGGAAAGUGGACUACAAUUUGGGACAGACGAAAAAGGAAAACAGGACUAUCAAAGUGGGACGGAGGGAGUAUUCUUUUAAGUACCAGAAUUCACAGUUAAAACAAAAAAAACAUAGAAUUUAACAUCAUUUUCCACUAAUUGAUUUCACUUUUCAAAGCAAACCCAAAUUCGCCAAGCAUUUGAAAUGGGUGAGAGACCAAUUAUGUAAUCUUGGACUAAUACAAUACAAACCUACUAAUCAUAAUGAACUAUUUAUUGGUCUUGUAGUUUUCCAAUGACAAGUUUUUUCCCCCUGGCUGCCUCAUUAUCUUGCCUCUAUUAAUGUAGAAAUGUCCUUCAAAAGCCUGAGUACAUUAAACUCAUGAACUCAACUUGCUACCAUCCUUUCUUUAACUCAUGAAUGAGAAUUAAGUAUUUUUGGAAACAUUCUCAUCCUCUCCUUUUCUUUCCUUUUUUCAGAAGGUCUUCCUCCUUCGAAGGGAGACUAUCAUGGUCUUCUUUCCAUAGAUUUCGUAUUAUUUUAAUCUUUAAUAAAGUCUUUCCUAAAUUUUCUUUGUGAGAACUCUCUGUGUUUUUAAGGAUUUCUAAUGAGAAUUUUAUGUUUAUCUUAAUGGUUUAUUUCAGAUCUUGUCGCCAAAUUUGAUUUUUUUUUUAAAUUUUGGAUCUUACUCAACAAAUCUCAUCAUCAUUAUGGAAAUUUAAAAUUAUUGAUUAGUAGAUUUGAUGAUUGUGACAUGGACGGAAGGGAAUUACAGUGAUUUAUCUUAUUAGUAGACAACGUCAAAUUUUUCUGUAUAUUUUAGAUCUAUUGAAAAAAAAAUUUAAAAUCUGUUGUAUAUCAGUUAAAUUGCAGAUAUGAUCUAUUAUUUCUAGUACAUAACAAUGUAAAUCAAAUUGCGUUAGACGAUUUUCAACAAUUGAUUAAUAAAAUUUUCUUUUAUUAAAAAACAUACAACCAUUCUUUUUAAUGGACGACAAUUUUGAAGCAUCGAUGUGAACAGGUGACCAUAUUCCUUGAACUUAAACUUCAUAGCCCUACAUCAAAAUCUUACAUAGUGGCUACGAUUUUUGAACCUAUCUAAUUCUAAUGUAGACAUCUUUAAAAUAAAAAAAGUUGCCGUGGGGAAAAUGAUACAAUAGAAUUCGUCGAUGAUCCUUGACCCGCAUAAGGUAGGUAUAACAUGAGUGAUCCAGAGAAGCUUUCGACUUGUCGCAGUCAAACGUUUUGUCAUUCAUUACGAAACUGAUAACAGAUGUUCUCUUGUGGUCUGUAUAUCAGCACAUGGAUGGUGGUGAACACAAAAACUCAAUGCGCAGAUUCAUCGAUCCAAAGACGAAAAAACAUUUUCCGGAUGCCAGAAUUAAACAUGCACCACAACAAAAUUGAAAAAUGAUGAAUUGAAAUUCUUUUUAUAUUAACACGAUAAUUCUUAUUUUACUCCAACUCCUCUUCUACAUUAAGAGGAAAGGAAUAGACCCGAAAGGGUCGACGAGAAUCAGAAAGGACUAAAUCAUCACUAAGCUUGAUGGGUGUCUUUCAAAAAAGUUUGAAUAAAACUGCAAGUACAGGAGAUUUCAUUCCUAGGGAUGGCAAUUGAUCGACGCCCGUCCCACGCCGCAGGGCUAAUGGGACUGGAUGGUAGGGGAAAUUUUUUUCCCCAUUAAAAAAUGGGAUGGGGAGCGGGAGAGUAUACCCCCACUCCAUUCCUUGCUGUGCCACCUGUUAAAAAAAAUUAAAUAUAUAUGUGUGUGUAUAAAAUUGGGGAGCGGGAAAGUAUACCCCCACUCCAUUCCCUGUUGUGCCACCUGUUAAAGAAAAUUAAAUAUAUAUAUAUGUGUGUGUAUAAAAUUAGUUACAAACUCGUAAUAAUGAUAUUAUUAGUUAUAAGUAUUAUAUAAUUUAUAUUAGUAUAUAUAAUAUAAUUGAUAUUAUCAAUUAUAUUAAUAAUUAUACAUGCGUACUAAUAGAAAUUAUUAAUUAGUUAUACUAAAUUUACUGAUAUAUUUAUACUAAAUUCUUAAUUAUACUUAAUACAAUAACACUUUUUUCUCAAAAAAAAAAUCAAUAAUGACUUGUGAUUAUAUUUGUCUCUAAAGUAAAAACUUGAUUACUUUAAUUUUAUUUGUCUCAUAAUGUUGUUGGAUUGUAUUCAAAUAACUUUUAUUUGAUUGUUUUUAUAUAUUUCAAUUGUGAAAUUAUAUGAACAAUGACUUGAUGAUGUGUUGAUAUUUAAAUACUUAAUUUUUACUAAAAUUUGACUACAACAAAAUUAUAUAAUACAUUUUUAUUAAUCUCGCCGAAAAAGUGAAAAGGAAUGGAGACGGGAGGGGAGAUUGGUACCUGCACCCAAGGAUGUCCCUCCCCGUUUGCCAACUCAGCUGAAAUAUCCAGACGUGGGGUGAUAUGAAUACAUUGUAUUGACGGCUCGACUUUGUCAAAUUCAUGGAACCUAUUUGAUACACGUAACGAUAGACCGUACACUUGGAUUCUUUAUUCGAAUUUAAGGGAAUCAUGUCCAACAUUUGUGACCAACCCUUGUCAACUUGUUCUUCAAGGAGAGCAUCCGAGUGCCCACUUUGGACCCUGCUACUUUGUAAUGCACUACCUAGGAUUUUUCACACUAUAUACUACAAUAAUAUCCUUCAUGUUAUUAGUGUUUUAGCAAAUCUAAUUCCCAUUUCGAUUUUCCUUGCCUGUAAAUGUUGCUCGUGGUCUAGCUUGGUUGAUGGAGAACUGGGGUAAGCAUUUUAAAUGGAUGUAGGUUUGGUCAGUCCUAAAAAAAAUCUUGGGAGAAGUUUGUAUUUUAUCACCUUAUGUCUUGAGUAGUAUCAAAGAUGAAAGUCAGUGAAAUAUCUGUUUGAUUGAAAAAGUAUGAUUCAUAUAACGAUGCAUUACUCCAAUCACCUUAUAUCUUGAGUAGUAUUGUAACUUAGGCCUGUUAUCAUCUAAUUAAUCCUGCUUUUCCUGUUGUCCCGCCUACACCAACAAAAGUUAAUCCUCAGAAUAUGCUUCACUACUUGAGUAGAUAUAUGGUCUUACCAUGGAAUUUUGUGCCUUGUUUGGAAGUAAAGUUUUUUACCAAGUUUGUCUGCUACAAGUUUUUUAAAAACUUUAGCUACAGUAACCUCAAAAAUUUUUUCAAAGUUUUUAAACUAUACACUUCAAAAUAUUAAAAAAAAAAUACACUUCAAAAAUUUUUUUAAAAACUUCUACAGUAAAAUUUUAGACAAACAUCCAAAAAACUCACCUUCCAAACGGGCCGUUAAUACAUGUGAUAAUUGUGUCAUUCUGGUAUAACUUUAGAGUGGAAGAAAGUUGCUUCCACCCACAUUUAACUCGGUUCAGGUUGAUUCUGUCUAGUUCGAUCUAAUUAUUGUGAUUCAUAACUUUUGGUGUAAAUUCGUACAACUUUAAUUUAACUGUGAAUUAGUUGUACGAGUGGAUAACAUUCACAGUUAUACCAAAAUUGUACCAUUUUACACCAAAUGUUUUAAAAAUUACAUAAUUGGAUGGAAUUGAACAGAAGUUCAACCGGACAGGCUCCGAAUGGUCGAACCAUAUUUAGCUACCCUUUUCGGAGCUAGCGGCCCCAAUUAUGAACGCAAGUAUUCUUAUUUUGUGAAGGAAGAAUAAGAACAACUAAAAACUUGUAAGAAGGGAAAACAAAGAGAACGAAAUGUGUUACUUUGUGAAAAGGCUCAACUAGGAAGACUGUGAAUUAAAAGUACCUUUAGUGGAUCGGAUGUAUAUUUUUUAUGGAAAAUUUUUUUGAGAUUUUUUAAGGUUAAUCUUUUUUAUACAAUGUUGCUGUAUAAAUUUUUAACACUAGUAGAUUUAUGUCAUACAACAUAAUAUGAAUUCAAAUUUGAAUUUCAAAUCAUGCACAUGUGACAUACAUCCAAAACUGCUAGUGUAAUAAAAUCACCACACCGUCAGUGCAUAAAAAGUUAAUCCAUUUUUUAAAUACAUUUUUUAGCUACCUUCUAAUUUUUUUAUUCAAAUUUUUAUCUAUCAUACAGCAUAUCACAAACAGUAUUAUUAAUAAAUGAAGAAAGACAGUUCAAAAAAAUUGAAAAAAGAUUUUUUGCAAAUAAUCUUCACUCCAAAUACAAUUAGAUAUAUUAAUUUGGCGUAGGCUCACUUCUAUCUAUGUCUCCUCGUUUUUGGACUGUGGUCCAAUUAACGGUCAAAGCCCAUAAAGCCAAUGGGUUUGUUUGGAUUGGGUUUUAUUUCCUCAAAUUUAUUUGCUUACAUCAUCAUUAUAAUUUCCAAUACACCUUUUUACCUUCCCAAUUACCUUUUUAUCUCACAUACAUCACAUCACAAAAAAUGCUACAGUAAAAAUAUCUCUAAUAAUUCACUUCUAUAUGGAUUGGAUUUUUGACGGCUGCUUGGAGAUUAGGCUCUAUCGAGGCGUCGUAGGAGGAAGAUUUCGGGGUAAGGUCAGAUCCAUUUCCGUAACGCUAAAGAAAAAAAUAAAUAAAUAAAAUUCCAGUUUCUAUUAGAAAAACUUUAUCUAGAUUUGGACUAACUGCUUGACAAACCGGCUUAAAAUUCCACUUUGCAUCCUUUAACUUGUAUACUUUUUUCACUUUGCACACCAUUUUAAUUUUGGACACAUUGCAUCCUCAACUAUUGAAUUUGAAUCUACCCUAUUUCAAUCCAAUUGAUAACUCCAUCACCAAAAUUAACAAAAUAAAAGACAUUUUGGUCACAAUGCACAAGUCUUUUUGGUCAAAGGGGGGCAACCUUCCCUCCACAAAAAUUUCAUCAUCUUGUACGGACAUAAAAGUCAUACUCGCUCAUCGUGUGCAUUGUCUUUUAUUCUAUUAAUUUUGAUGAUGGAAUUAUCAAUUGGACCGAAAUGUGAUAAAUCCAAUAGUAAAGGGUGUACUGUGUUCAAAAUUAGAAUUAGAGGUGCAAAGUGAGAAAAAGUGUACAAGUUGGGGUUAAAAAGUGGAAUUAAGCCUAACAAACCUAAUAGUUUGGGAGGUUUGGAUUGGCGUGGUAAGGUGGGAGAAAUUAUCCUAAAUACAAGACUAUCCACUCACCCAAAAAAAAAAAAGUUUGUCUUUAUCCAAUGGAGUACUGCUAAUUGAACAAAUAAGAAUCUCAAAAUAUUAAUUGUAUUUGAUAUAAAACUAGUGAGCUCGAGAACAUUUUUAUUUGUCUACUAGGCUUGCCAAAUUAUUGAUUUGACUGUGAUAAAAUUCUUAGAAAAAUUUUAUCUUAAUUUUAUCAUUAAGAAAUCACAUCAUCAAUAGGAAAAUUCUAUUUAUCUCAUGAUUGAUUAGGUGCAAUGGGGAGUUCUCAGCAUAGAACUUUGUACGAGGCUACUGCUUUAGGUAAUGUCCAUCUGAAGGUGCUGGUAACAUUUCUAAAAUCUCAACGAAGUACUAAUUAAGGGAAAACUAGGAGUUAGAAAAGAAAAAAAAGGUCCUCAAAUCCUUUGAAUCACCUUUCAAAUCCUGGUAUGAAUUUUCCAUGUCAACUGUUACAGUUUUUUCAGGGCAAAGACGCCUCCCUUGUACAGCUUAUCCCCACCUUCUGCUGGUGAGUGGUUGAGAUUCAUAGCUGAUGGCCUUGUCAUAUCAUCCAUCGUUUUGGAAGCCACUACUGUCUCGGCAUUCCAAUACCAGGGUUGAAGGUAAGGUGAAGAAAUAGAUGGAGAAUAUGAAGAGGGAUGUAGCAUUAUUGAUCCCCAGUCUCUUUCUCCAGGCUUUGGUUCCUUUAUCCUCCUCCUGAUUAACAAGCUUCCCACGUCUUCUUUUUUCAUUUCCGAUAUGCUUCUCAAUACUGAUAAGCAGAUAAGAAGUACAAAAACUGCAUCUUCUUCAGGCAGUACCUCCACUGCCGGUAGCUUCCAAUUUAGAAGAGCAGUUGCUUUUCCAGUUGGCAACUCCUCUGAGAACCGGACCAGUGUUAUAAAUCCAUCUUCUUCUUCUUCUUCUUCUUCUACUUCUUCGUCAUCCGUAUCGUUUGGUUUUUUGCAGAUAGAAGAGUCUGAGGCUGAUGAUGACUUCUUGACUUGAUACUGCAUCUUCCUCCCUUUCAGCAACCUUACCUAGAGUACACAGUUGUGAUUUGUUAUUUUGCAUCGUUUGAUAAAUGCAUGUUCUAGAAAAUUGAUCUUCAAAAAUAGGGAAUAAAACUGUAGGCUGUACCAUCCUGUCAGUAGGUUCCUUGUUUCUUAUGACAAAAUUGAAGCCUGAACUGGAUGUUGGAGACCCCCAACGUAUUAAUAGUUCAUUUCCUGUUGAGAUGUUCCAUGAAGCUUGCCACUCCUCAGGUGGUUCUUGAGGUGUUGCAGUGCCUACAACUUUCUCUGCACUAGAUGACAAUUGCAUGUAAAAUAAGCACGGAGGUUGAGAGGGAAACAGCAUAACUGAAGAACCAAAACAGGUGGAAGCAGUGAGAAAGAGCUACAUUAAAGCACAUACCAGGGGCUUUGCCAAUCGAACUAGCAACGUAGGACCAAGAACCUUCACGAAUCUCUAUGAUCCUGUCCUCCCAUUUAACAGCUGAAGGUGUUUCGCCUCCUCUCCUCCAAAAUCCUCCUCCCAUCCUGGAUCAUUCUUAAUCAUUUGAAACUCAGAAUAUUGAAUAAAGCAGACACUAAUAAAUGACUUCUUUCCGAUAGCAAUUACCUCAUUCGGAUGACAAAACACUCUCUUCCUGCAUGGUCAAGGACAGUGCGAGACAACCACCGACCAGCCUGAGGCCGAUACUCAUUCAUUCUAAGUAUUACAUCUGAUAUCAUUGCUCCUGAAUCAUCUGUGACCCGGUCUGGGACGCAUUUCAACAAGUAGGGUGCUUGAACAGGUGGAGUGAUUGAAGCAUCUGCUUUAACUACUUGAUCAAUUUCUUUUGACCAAGUUAGAGAGCGUGCACGCAAUAAAUCAUUCCAAAGAAAUGCAAUGCUACAUUGCAGGUUACUUCCUUUAAAGCAACGGCCACCUCUCUGACGAAGUUCAAGUAUCGCUCCCUUUGUGCCAAACUCACAGUACAGAUGCCAAGCUUUACGCCAUGAUUCUGAUCUAAAGUCUAACAAUGGUUUAUCUAAUUUGAGUUCCUUAUGGCAUCUAGCCAUCCGGAGACGUAGAAAUUCAUUUGACAUCUGUCUCUUCAUUGCUCUUGUCUCUCUACUUAGCUUCACGGAUAUGCAGAACUGCACAGCAGGAUAAUGGAGCAGUAAGGUGACUUUCACAACUUCCAAUACUCCCCAUUGGGCUUCCCCCAACCCAAGAAAGAAAAUCGGAACACAAAGUUCUACGAUAUUUUCUGUAAAACUUAAUUGCACUUAUAUUCUCUAACAUAUCUCAUUACAUCUUAUUCCUAUGCAGUCAUGCAGUUGUUUAUGUUUUAAGCAUUGAAUCAAUCAGAACAAGAUUUAAGUGAACCGAGCAUUCAGCAUCUUCCUAUUGAGUGAAUUGAGUGAACCAUCAACAGCAAAAUAUCAAAAAUCUUUUGGAUUCUUAAUAGCUGAUGAAUGAAAAGAUGCCAAUGGUUUCUGAAAAGCAAGUCAGAAGAACCUAAAAUUAGUUCCUUUGUAGAUGUUACACAAAUUAGAGUGGCAGUUAAUCUCAAAAAUCAAAAUUGUGCCAUUGACAUCCUUCGAAGCCUAAUGUAAGUAGAGAAUCACAAGCUUUUUUCUGCAUUAAAAAGAUCCAAUUUUGGGGUUUCACCAUAAUUAGAUACUUUGAAGAGGGGAUAUGAAGUUCAGCUAGCAAGUUAAUCCUAAGUUAAUUAAAUAAGAAAACAUGAUUGUCCUAAGAGUGUUCCUUUGUAUUUAUUUCAUAUCUCUAAGUUGGAAAGAGCCAACAACUGACACCAAUGGUAAACUACUUGGUACUUCUCUGUAAGACAAAGAAAGGCUUAAUGACAAGGGCUACUGUACUUUCUUAGGCAGAUGAUGCCAAUUGGAACAUGAACAUAUAGUGCAUAAUUUCACAUUUUUGGGGGGGAAGGAAAAAGUGAAGAGAGUAACUGUUAACCUAUUCUGUCUCAAGAUGUACAAGUUGCUAGAAGAUUAGAAGAACUACCACGAGUGAAUACACCUUAAAGGCUAGAUGUACAUGAGACUCAUUCGAAUGGAAUUUCAACAUGUCAAGACGAGUCCAAAGAUUCCUUUUAGAUGUUUGUAAAUUACUACUUAUCAGAGUCAAUAUAUGUCAAGGAGUUGAAUACAGUUACCAUUUGUUGCAUUUAUUGUAGACAUGUUGUAUCAAAUCAUUUCAUCUAAAACUUCUAGACGUUUUACCACUUGAUAAGCAGACAAUUUGCUAAUCUUCAACAACCAAGUUACCCAUGCAAAUUCAGUUUCAGGGUUUAGUCCAGGCACUGAACUAGGAUCUUUUCUGUCCCUAAACCAAAAAUAUGUUUAAUUUGUCAAAGCUGGAAAAUUUUGGGAUCAAGAAGAAAAAUCUAGGUAAAUGGACAACUGCCCUUGCACCAGACAAGAGCAAAUGCAGUGAAUUCUGCUGUGCAGCAUCUGCCCAAAAAAAGUGAGCGGUUCCAACUCCCAAGCCUUCUUGAAUCCCAAGUUGGUCUCACAUGACACAAAAAAUCUUUUAGCUUUUAAAAUAUUGAAUUCUUGAACAGAUAUCUUGACCGUGAUUAAAGACUUAAUGAAAGUUCGAUCAAGCUGGAGCGUGGUGGAUCAUAUGUCACCACUCACAUGUUCUUUAGACCUGACUUGUACAAAUUUGUUGCAUGUACAGGUGAAGGAAUAAUUAAUUAUAGGAGCUAUAUUAAUCUAAUUACAUGUUCAACACUAUUAGACCAACUUGCUAAUUAAAGAAGUACCAACUGAAAGAAUCAACCACCUAAUAUGGACACUGCCAACUAAUAAAUAGAAAAGGUGAUAUAGAAAGGGCCAAUCCUAGACAAAGCACUCAAACAACUUGGUUAAUGUUAAAUCAUGACUCACAGUUUCCUUGAUCUUUCCUUUUUCUUUUUCCAUGUUACAAAGUGCUAAAGCUAAAGGAACUAACCUCAAGCAAGAACCUUGGCACCAAAGACCUGUACUUUGUAUUAACAUCCGUGUCUGAGGCAUCCCAAUAAAAAGGUGGUUUGACAUGAACAGCCCUCCCAAUGGCUGAACCACCAGCUUUCUCAUAUGGUCGAUCAAAUAUUUCCUCCCACAUGUUUUUCGCUUCUUCUAUCGCUCCUUCCUUCACAUUCACAUCAUCCCAUGCUCCAUGUACCUUUUCAAUAUGCCCUUCCAACUCCUUAGUGUCUUGAGCAUAUACUGUAGGAUAGCUCUAACAAAUUGAAUGGCAAAAAUAAAUAAACAAAAUAUGAUAGAUUAUGUGAAGCACAUAUCAAAAUUUGCACGAGUUCACGUAUCUAGAGAGAUUAUUGUUUAGCGUUUAGGGCAUACAUUCUCUUCUUAUCUUAGGACACCCAUUCUUGUAAGCUUAAAGACAAUAUAGCAGGUUUGGGGCUCAACAAACUACUGAUUGAGACUUCUGGUGUUUUGUAGCAGAUGCAAACAGUGAAGUAUAUCGCUGUACAAAAUGUUCUUGUUUUCACUACAUUAUGAAUCUAGACUGCAGUUCAAAUUGUGUGGCUACAUUUUCCAGCCAUGGAUUCACCCGUCAAAAAUUAGUAGGGCUAAUUGACAGGUAGAUUGGUGGGAGCUCCAAUCCUUACCAUACUGUCAGUCUUCCACUUGUGGUACUGGAUGUCGAGAUUUACUUUAGUGAUCAGAACAUUACUUCCAACUCUGAGGCAACAUAAUUGGCCUAUCUUGAGUACUCUUAAGCACAAUAUUAAAGUAAUGUCUACUAACUUUUAGACAAUUAUCAUAAACCAGUAAAUUAAGCCAUCUUCUACUGUUUCUGACCCAGUCAUCAAGAAGUAUGCUUCAUUUGCCCUCAUGCCCCACCACAGACCCCAAACAAGAAAAAAAAACAUACUUAGAAAAGGGCAGGAGGAUGGAAAAGAAAAAGGCUGCAGCACCACUUGUUGCUUGAUAGUGCAAAAACCUAAAAAGUAGGGAUUUUCUGUGGAGGAAGUAUGAGUCAGACUGAAGCAAAGAAAGAAUGUAUAUUUGCUAGAACCAAAAGACCACCAUGAAUUUCAGAAUAGCUCCAUUUCCAUUUGCCAGGCAAACCAUGUAGAUGUAGGUAAACCAGAAAGCUGGGAAAACAAAGAAUGAAAAAUAAAUGUGGUCACCUACCUGAUGAGUCAGCCACAUAAGUAGAACAUCUGAAGGGGGCACCAAUAGAGAGCACCUCUCGGAAAUUCUGUUCAAACUGUACAGAAAGCCUUUAUAGCUUUGUCUUGCUGCAAUCAGAUAGACAACCUCUGACCUGUAUGGCUCAUUAAAUAUGGUGUAUAAAUAUCUCUGCUUGGACACUUGAUCCAGAAGAUCUUCAUUUAUAACACAAGGCUUCUCCAAAUUUAACUCAAAUUCACUCUCAAAAGGCUCGGAUGGAUAUCUGUAUUCCCAAAUUUCUUUGCAUCUGUUCAGUGCAUACUCUUCAUUUUCUUCAUCAAAGAUCGCUGCUUUCCCAAUUAACUUCGAGAACCUUGACUUGCAAUAUUCUCUGUAACUGACCUGGAACGGAAUUCAGAAAAUAAGCAUUAUCGGUAUAAUCUUCGAUGCAACCUUACUUCAAUUUGAUCAAGAAUGAACUUUAUUUAACCCCAAAAAAUUUAACUUGGAUUGAGUACAUAAAUUUGAUGAUUUUAGCUUCAGAACACCUCUGUCUAGUGCAUUUUUUUUCUCGACUGUUAAGAGCAAUAUCAUUCUUUUAGUCUUAACUUGAAUUUCACAAUCACAAGGGGAAAAUUCUGAAUCUUUGUGGUGCAGCUAAAGCCAUUAAAUGAAAAACUUACCGGAUUCAAGGUGUGACAGAACCAAAUCCAUUCAACAUCAAGUGGAGGAAGGACCAUAGGAGGAGUUGAACCGACUGCGAGAUCAGAGAUGAGAGGCAUCCAAAGCUGAUCAUAUCUAAACAUUUAAACCAUCAAAAUUUCCAUCAGACGAUAAUUUUUUGCUAAACUAAACCACACCCAGAUGAGUUUAGCUGCUAAUAAAUCAUCCCAAAUCAAGAAAUCAGUACCUUCUGAUGGAUUCAAGAAUGCUGGGUUUCUGGUGAAGCCAGUCAGAGUCAUCCACCAGUCUCAAGAACCCAAGAUUAUGCCUUGCAGCAGCUACAAGAUCCACACUAAGUUUCACAGUUUCCUCCUCCGAUAUCUGACUUAGGCUCCUGAUUGAUCCAACAUCGUCUGAAACUGACAUUGCUUACCAAAUUCUUCACAUGCCUUCGGACACAGCACCCUAUUUGUUCAACUCAACAAAUCCAUGACAUCUUGAAAAGCAUGCUGCAUGAGCGCACACAAAAGUAGUAAAAGAACUCGGCACGUGGUACAUUUACAUUUGAUUCAACUAUAGAUUGUACUACUGAUGGGACCAGAAAAGACAAGACCAUUCAUUGGUUCCAAGAUGUAGUCAAUUGGGUCAUCAAGGGUUGUAAAUUUCAAUUUGUUCCUAGUAAUGUGCAAUGUGGAGUGCAAAUUUCAUAAUAGUAGUAUAAGCUUAUUCUUUGUAACACUGUUCUUUCCUUCUUUUUUUUUUUUUUUUGGUAUGUGGAAACAAAAAAGAAGAUGAAAAUAGUGGAGGCAUGUAUCAACGAAAAAAUCCCAUUAUAUUAUAUGAUUGCAUGAUGCAAUGUUUUAAUUAAAUUAUCUAGUAGCAGUUGAGAAUUUGCCAUGGACAUUAACGUUAGAAUUGAUUGAAUCAUGUUAAAAUUGCAACAAAUCUGUUAAAUUAACAUUAUCCCCAUUCUUGUGUGUUGUAUUUGUAGUAUUAUAUGAUGCAUAAUUUCGGUGGAAUGUUCAUCCGAUUCAACAAAGAAAUAACAGGUGUUGCAUCCUCCAUCAACGUUAUGAGAUGAUAAAUGUAUUUUUGUACAAUGAUGAGUCUUCGGUAAAGUAUAUGGUUGCUUUUCUUGACCUACUCUCUAUGGUGAGGUGUUCCCUUUUCAAUUGAAUCUCCCAUUCAACGUGGCAUAAAAAAUUAGAUAUUAAAACUACUAGUUGCAAAUGACGUUAAAUGGAAUAAUUGACGAGGCAAUACAUACAAUAAAGGCAAUAUUCUCAUUUUACAUUAAUUAGUGUACUCUUAAUGUGUACUACAAAAAAAAUGAUGAAAAGGGGGCAUUAUAACUUAAAAAAUGAUGAAAAAUGGGUAUUUUAACUUUUUGUUUAAACCUUCCACCCCAAAUGCCAGGCAUAAAAUAUAGGAUUGGAGUUUUGAACUUGAUAACAAGAAAAAUUUUAAGAGCCAUUUUCUGACCACUUAACCGGUCCUAAUGGUUGGGUUAUCGUAACAUUUGUUAUUUUUAUAUUUGGAUUUUUCUAACGAGUGCCCUUAAGGCACUUGUUAACACAUCUAGUAUUCAUCUAAUUUAUCAUAUAUAUAUAUAUACAUAUAGUAACAAUUAUUAUUCUAUCUUGCAUUUAUAUAAUUUCUUUAUUUAAUAUUGUCUACCCUUCCUUGUAUUUAUUUAUUUUUUCUAAUUAAUUUUAUAUUUUCAAAAAUAUAAUACUUGAAAUAUAUCUUAACGAGCGUACUAUGGGCACUCGUUAGACAAACCAUUAUAGGUUUAGUGCUAUUGAAUUGUAAUAGUUGUCAUGUUCACUAUUUGUGAAUCAGUUGUUCAUUAAUUGUAUUACUCCAAUUAUUAUGGGUUUCUUGUAAUCUUAUUAAAAGAAUAGAAAUGUUAUAUUAAGCGCCAUACGACUUAAAUGACAGAAACAAACUAAAUAAUGGUCCAUUUUCUUGAUUUUAGGGAUUUCUUUAUUUAUAUCUAUCGUUUAGGAAUGUCGUGAUUUUCAAUAUCUUUUUGUAAAUGGACCAAAAAAACAACUUUGUCUUUUUGAUAAAUGAACACUUCUUAAGAAUUUACUAGGCUAAUUUGAUAUUUAGUAGGUCCCUUCUUCAAAUCAGGCCAAAUGAAUUAUUCACCAGAAGUUAAGCAAAGACAGGAUGAAGAAUGUAGAAACUAGGCUAACGAGUAGAUGUGGGACAAUGCAGCAAAAAACUGAUACAAGAAGAAUACACAGAGUUCUAAAAUGAAUCGAUUGAUUGGUCCCAUCCUUUUCACUUUCGCUAUUGCACCACUAGGCACAAGGUAUCAAACCACUACUGGUAAAUCUAUGAUGAUGGGCCAAAUUUGGGGUGACGUGUGAUCAUGAUUUUUGCGUCCAAAUCUCUACCUCAUCCUGCGGCUCUUCGCUUCUUUCCGCUUAGCUUUUGGUUGAAAGUGUCCAUCUUUCAUUGCAUCAUGUCAUAAGAAAAGUUAGGUUAGCAAACUAGCAACCUAAUUUAGAUUUUCCAUAUAAAUUUUUUUUGAAAAGCAUAUAGAUUGACCUUAUAGAAUAUAAGAACAUUCCGCAUCAUAUAGAUUUUCCAAUGUUUUGAGCUUGGGUUGGGUUAAGCAGCUGUUUGAAAAUCCGUUAUUUUCUGUCAGCCAAAAAAGUAUGUAAAUACCUAAUUUAGAGGUGGGUUGGAUUAGAUGCUACGAUGGAAGGAAUUGAAACAAAAAUAAAUUUUAAAUAUUUAACUUACGGUGCAAUUGGGAGGAGGGUUGGGUUGAGUAGUACGGGAGGAGGAGGGAGUGUAAGUGAGAGUUUUUGGAUUCAAGACCCUCCACUUGCAUUUGAAGAAAGAAAAUCUUGUGACGCAAUUAAGUUCAUUAUCAUAGAAAACAAAUGUUCCCUAAAGGUCUACAACUUCCAUCAAUCCUUCUUUAUAUCCUAUUGGCACAAAAAUUUUUUUUUUUUUUGACGAGGGAUUAUUUGGACAGAAAUUUAGACUUUAUAUGUUUGGGGCUUUUGGGCACUUUAUUAACUGAAUCAUAAUACAAAAAUGGACUAUUAUUAGGGGUGGCAAUUUCUGACACGACCCGAAAACACGACACGAACCUAACACGAAAUUAAUGGGUUUGGGUUGAAGUUUUGGGGGUUCGGGUCAGAAUCGGGUCGAACCCGAUGAACCCGAAAAGAAAACAGGUCGAUUUCGGAUCAACCGGUGGUGACCUGAUAUGACCCGAUAUGACCCGUUUACAAAUUAAAAAUAAUUUAAUAAACAUAAAAAUUAUUUUAUCUAAGUAAACUAAAUCAUUCUUUUUUUUUCAAAAGCAUUAAUUACUUAAUUCUAAAUGAAUUUAUUUACCUUGUGUGAAGUUAAAAUUAUUAUAUUUGGACAAAUAAUAUAAUUCGUUUUAAUUUAUUUUAUAUUUGAUUUGGGAUAAAACAGUUUUACGAUGUUUAAUUUAUUUUGGAUUUGAUUUGAAAUUAUUUAUUUAAAUUUUUAUUACUUGAUGAUGUAAUUAAUUUUGUGAGAAAUUGAUUUUAUUAGAAUUUACAGUGAUAAAUUAAUAAAUUAAAAUUAAUUUUCGGAUCAUUUUGAAUCGACCCGCCAACCCAAAAUUUUCGAAUUCGUGUCAGAUAUACUGACCCGUCACGGGUUGACGGGUCGAGUUCGAGUCAACAGAUUUUUUGGCGGGUCGGAUCAACCUGAUUGGUCCCGAAUUGCCACCCCUAACUAUUAUAAUGUCAAAUUCGACAGUGUAGAAAAUUAAUUGUUAUUUGUCACGUAAGUACUUAUCAUCACAAAAUACAAGUACUUUCUUUAGUGAUAACAAUUUCACAUGCAGUAAGGUAACCUCAUCGUACUCAAGAAUUGUUUACAGCUUAUAGGAGUAUUAUAUAACAAUAAACGCAGUGAUUAAUUUAAUAACUCUAUGUUGUUGUAUGAAUCCACAUUAAUAUUUGGAGAUGAUAAAAUACACAUAAUCAAUCAGUAUUUCAUCAAUUCAGACGAGAACAUUCAUUAUUGUCCAAGUUCAAGUGAAAAUUUUGGAACUGAUUCCCUCCUGCCUUAUGACAGAAAAUGGAUAUUCAAUGAUAGAGAAGUAAUAAUUCAUUGAACUUCAAGAAGAAAACGUCAAGGCCGUUGCCACAACUUAAAACUUUUUUUUUUUUUUUCAGACAAUGCCUGUUUAAGAUUGAUUUUGCGUAUACCAAAAAGGGAAUUCAAUGAUGAAGAAGUAAUAAUUCAUUGAACUUGAAGGAGAAAACGCUAAGUACCUGGAGUAUUAGAGAUUGUGAUUCCAUAACUAAAUUGACAUCUUAACAAAGUGCCUUAAGUAACCAACUAAACUAUCUCUAGGUCGAGUGAUUGAAUUCCAGAAGUAGUUAGCCAAGUUCUCUUUGGGUGUCAAUCAAAGAAUUGAAUCCUUUGACUUUGCACUCGUCUAAUCCAAUAAUGAUUAUAUCCUCGUGACCUAAGUUGGUUCAAUUCCUAUCAAUUCCCCGACCGUCUGAUCUAAUAAUGAUUGUAUCCUCGUGACCUAAGUUGGUUCAGUGACCUAAGUUGGUUCAAUUCCUAUCAAUUCCCCGACCGUCUGAUCCAAUAAUGAUUAUAUCCUCGUUGGUUCAAUUCCUAUCAAUUACCCGACCACCUAAAUGAUUCUAUUCAUCGCUCCCUUCCGGUCGAUUCCCUUGACCGAAUUAAGACCUCCCUUAAAUAGGAGGUUGGUGUAAGAGAAACACAAGAGUAGUAUUGAGCCCUCCCUUAGAUACACUAACAUAGGAGUAACAGUAGGAAUAAUGUAGCUAAAAAAAAAAAUCAGCCUUGAGACCCGUGGAUUUCAUUAUGUUGUUUUUCCCCACUCUUGGUUUUUGUUCUCUCUCUUUCUUUGCUGAUCAAUUUAAGAAUGCUAAUUUCAUCAAUUAAACAAGAUAGAAACCAGGUUCAACCAGACGCCCUAGCAAUCAAAGGAAUUAUUCUUUCUUAUGGAACUCUAAAGGUUGUCACUCUAGAAGGCUGAUAUUGACAGAGAGAUUUCCAGAGCAUCUUUUGACCUUUUGCCCCAUCAAAGGUUAACUCAACUUUACACUAAAUGGAGAAUACCAAGUCAAUACGCAGGUAAAAGAGCAGAAUUGGUACUGGAAGAUAUCAUUGUACACCAAUUUUCCUUAUUUCCCUCUGAUCAAUUAUCAUGCAUUCAAGAAAAUCAAGUGUCAAACCCAUCAUCUUAUCCAUGUUUCAAGCAAAAUUGGACCCCAAAGAAAAAAAAAAGUGAAACAGAAAGUAAACAAAAGGGCUAUUCCUGUUCCCUCAGAAAAUGAUAAUUUACAAAUUUCAAUCAAAAAAUGAUUCAGAAUUAGCAUGGUUUGGAUAAGAACAUCACAGGGAACAAAAGCCCAGUUGUUUAGACUGCAAUUCAUCAAAACAGAAAAUCCCAGAUCCUAGGGCAACCUGGAAAAUAAAAAGAAGUUAAAACAAAGGAUUGAAGAAGCUCAAGCUCAGACAGAUGUUGGAAAAAAGUCCAUUCCUGGACCUUCUAGUUGGAAGCCAGAAGGCCUCAUAAUGAGCUGGGAUUAACAUUUAUCAUCAUAGCAUUCUUCCAUAUAUAUAUAUAAAAAAAAAAAAAUAAGCAAAGCCUCAGUGGAGGAACAUAGAACAAAGGCAGAAACAGAAAAAAGAAAGAAGAAAAAGCUUCAGGUAAAGCACAGAUGCAUUCGUUGGUGGUUCUAUAAACAGAAGCUGGAGAAGAAAACGGAGGGCAGGAGUGGAGAGCUGGAAGGGGAUGGCGAAGGAUUUUAUAUUUGAGAAGACAAAAGUUUAGUAGGGAUUUAGGGUUUUGGUGUGGGCUUGUGGGUGGUUGCCGUCUGCUAACCUUCAACAGAAGUACUGAAAAUCCUCUGGGCCCAAAUACGUCUCCCUGUGUUCUGGGCUCAGUCUCAGUACCCGCUAUAUUGGUGGGCCAUGUAAGGAUCUUUACUUCUAUGCGGCUUUAACACCCAAUUUAAUGGGCAGAUACAUUAGUCUGGUGGUUGUGAAGAUUCUGAUUCAACUUUUUAAAUCAUCUUUUUUUUUUUUCUUUUUUUCUUUGUAAGAUUUGGAGUCUCUGUUUGCACUAAAAAGAAAGAGAGAAGAAAAUGUAAACUAUUUGAGUUGAAUUUUGAUAAUACUACUAAAGUUGUUAAGCUUUCAACGAUUGUGUUUAAGCUCAAUAUGAUGAUGGUUUUAUAGAGCUUGAGCACAAUUUGUAUAAAUUUGAGUGAGACAACUCUACUUCAAAUUUGAACUCGAGCUAAAUGAAGGCGGAAAUUUUGCCGGGGGAAUUUGAUCAAACAUAAGGUUGAUGAAGCAAAUUUAACGUCAUUUACUAUUAUUUCUUUAGAGCUUAGGCAAAAUAUUUCAAACAAGAAUUAACACAAAAGAUAAAAUAGCUAAAAAGGAACAUGAAACAUGGUAGUACUAGAAAGCAGUUGCUUAAGAGCUAGCAUCUUUUAGCGUCUCCUUAUCAAAGCAUCAGAAAAGGGAAUGUAGUGCAAUCAAAGCCCAGCAGCCAAACAGGGCUUGAUUCAAACUCCUUCCACAUCCCAAACUGAGAAGAAAGACGCACAUAAAAUAGGCGAUUAGCAAUUUUUAAGGUGACCACGACGACGAUGAUGUUGAAACGAAGAGGUUUGGGCGCUGCUUUUUCUAUUUCUCCAUACGAGAAAGCAUCAGCUCCAUCAGAAUCAGGUACUUCUGCUGCUGCUGCUACUGCUGAAUUAGCUUUUCGUUCUGGUUCUGCUGCUGCUGUUAAGGAAAAAUACCCAUCUUGGGGUUUGAGGAAUCAGAUUAAUAAUGACAUCAAUAAUCUGGAAGAUGCACUGAGAUUGUACGAUGAUAUGGUUCGAACGAGGCCUCUGAAUAAUGUUAUUCCCUUGAAUCAACUGCUAAGCCGUUUAAUUAAGCUGAAGCAUUAUUCCUCUGCUAUUUCCCUUUUCAAAGAUAUGUGGGCUCUGGGCAUUCCGGUCAACGAAUACAUCCUUACCACAGUAGUCACUUGUUACUGCCUCGUGGGUCGAGUGGAUUUAGGGUUUUGUACAUUAGGUGCUUUCUUCAAGCGUGGUGUUGUCCCUAAUGUCGCCACCUUUGCCAUUUUACUCAAUGGACUGUUUCGAUGGGAUAGAGUUUCCCAAGCACAAGAAUUGUUCAAGAAGAUCAUCUAUCGAAAAUUGUGUGAACCGGAUGAGAAAAUGUAUGGAGUUAUAAUCGAUGGGCUCUGCAAGGCGGGGAACACCAGCAUGGCUAUUGAGUUUCUUGAAGUUUAUGCAAAAACGAAAAGUUAAGCCGAACGCUGUUAUUUACAGCUCCAUCAUUCACAGCUUGUGCAAGGAUAACAUGGUAGAUAAAGCUUUUGACCUUUUACAUGAGAUGGUGGAGAAGGGCAUUGCCCCGAAUAUCGUUACUUCCAACUGCUUGAUCCAUGGUCUUUGCAAUUUAGGUCAAUGGAAAGAGGUUGCUAGGUUACUGACUGAGAUGCAGGAUUUUCAUUGGAUGUUUUUACUUUUAGUGCUGUGAUUGAUGCUCUAUGCAAGGAUGGAGAGAUAGAAGCUGCAGAAGAUGUAUUUCAGACCAUGAUUCAGCGAGGUGAAAGACCUAACAACGUAACAUAUGCUGCUCUGAUGGACGGAUACUGUUUGCAGGGCCACAUGGAUGAAGCAAUGAGAGUUUUUAACACCAUGGUUGCCAACGGAGUUGUUCCCGAUAACUUCAUAUAUAAUAUACUGAUGAAUGGAUAUUUCAAGAAGAUGAGAGCAGAUGAUGCGCUACAUCUCCUUAAAGACAUGCAGUGUAAAGGUUUAACACUUGACACUCCUACGUACGAUACAAUCUUGAAGGGAUUGUUUACGGUGGGGAGGUCUGUUGCUGCAUGAAAAGUGUUUGAUGAGAUGCAAACGACUAACAUAAUGUCUGGCUUCUACACUUACUGUGUGAUGUUGGAUGGAUUAUGCAAGGGUGGACACAUUGAGGAAGCACUGGAUUUGUUGCACAAGGUGGAAGUUGAAAGAGCGGAUCUCAGACAUGUAUGUAUGUACAACAUCAUUCUUCAUGGACUGUGUAAGAUUGGGAGGCUAGAUAGUGCUUGAGAUCUUUUCGAGAGCCUGUCUCUUAAAGGACUGGAUCCAGAUGUUGCAACAUAUAAUACCAUGAUACAAGGGCUCUGCUCAAAAGGUUUGCUAAAGGAAGCUAAGGAGUUGGUUGUAAACAUGGAAGAGAAUGGUUGCUCGGCAAAUAGGAUCACGUACAAUGUUAUCGUCCGAGGAUUUCUUUUGGGAGGUAAAUAUGAUGAUGCACCGGUGUAUCUUGAAGAAAUGGAUAGGAGGGGAUUCCCGGUGCAUUCUUAUACUUUUUCCAUUCUAUUAAAUUCAUUAAGAGAGAGUGAAACUGAUCCUUAUCUUCUCAAGAUAAUCCAGAAGUUUGUUCCAAAUAGAAAGGUUUGAGUCAUAAAUAUAGAGGAGGCUUGACUAUGGGCAGCAUGUUUUCCCUAGUCUUUCUCCUAAACAAUUGAAUCAUGAUCGUGCAACAUAUAACACGGCAACAAAUGGCUCUUGUUUGAGGGUUUGCUGAAGAUGCUAAAAAGUUUGUUUAGAGAUUGAGAGAGAAUGGUUGUGCACCAAAGGUAUUGUCCACCAACUCUUUGAGGUUAGUAAAUAUGAUGAUGCAGGGGUAUGUUAUGAUGAAAAUGCAUAGAAGAGGAUUCUGAUUGCUUUGUCAACUUUGUACAUUUUGCUUUGGAUAAUUGAGAAGUCUGAUAUUUCUCAACUACGAGAUUUCAGAGUCAUAUAAAUGCAGGAUAAAUAUGAUGGUGCAGGGGUAUGUUGUGAUGAAAUGCAUGGGAGAGGAUUGUGACUGCUUUUGUCUACUUUGUAGGCUUUGCUUCGUUCAAUUAAAGAGGAUGAAAGUGAUCUUUCUCUUGUUUUGGAUACUUGAGGAGUCUGAUUUUCUUAACUACAAGAUUUCAGAGUCAUAAAUGCAGGACUAUAUUGGAUUGCUGGAUAUCAAAGUGCUCUUCUGCUCCUAAGAUUUAAUUUUGUUGGAAGGUACAUGCUGCAGAUUCACAAUUACUUUUGAUCAGAAUAUAGGUUUAAGAUUGAAUACAACUAAUCCCUUGAGGAGCACUUUUGGGCAUAUUCAGGGAAGUCUGAGAUAUUAUAACCCUUGAAUUAAUUAAAUUAUCAAAUCGUGUUUGAACUUGUAGAUAAUUGACGCAUUAAAGCUUAAUAGGAGGCUCAAAUAACAGUUUCAGUCAAUACAUCUUAACAUAUGUUCUUUUCAUUAUACAAGAAUAGCUAUGCAUUAUUGAUAAAAUAGUAUUAGAAAUAGAAAAAAUAUACACAUGAAUCAAUCUCAGAACUUACAUUUUAAACCCACAAAAGAUUUAGAUCGAGUCAGACGGUUUAAAAACUAGUGGAUUUGUUUAUAACCCUACUCAUGGGUUCAGCAGGCAUAAAAAGAUUCAUGCAUUUAUCUUCCAGAUAUUAUAAAAAAAAAAAAAAAAAUGGUGGGAUGCAUUUAAUUUUUUUCCCCAAGGAGCCUCAACAUCAUCUGGUUCUCGGAUCUCAAUCUGCUGCUUAAUUUCAGUAUUAAAAAGAAUUAUGAAUUGACCGCUUUGUGUAUUAAAAACUAGAGUACUUAAAGUACAUUUGUAGCCCAAAUACUCCACUGCUUUGUAAUGAAUACACACACAAAUCAUAUUGUUAACUUGCAAGGCUUAGAGUUAGUAGAAGAAAAUAACCUGUCUCCUGAUUUGAUUCUUGAACUCCUUCUUUCCUUCUUUCUUUUCGCAGGGAAAAUGAUUAAAAAGGAAUGGGUUCGGAUGAGAGCAUGUGCUUUAGGCUUUCUUCAACUUACCUGAAUCCGGAUGGAAAUCUUACUUAAGCUGGCUGUCUUCUUUUCCUUCAUCGAAGUCCUCAUGGUUCAACCUGCAAAGAGAAUUUAGUUUGACGGGCUAAACAUCAACAUAUCUGUGUAUAACAUAAUAGAAUAUUUUCCAAAACUAACAAUACACAGAGACAGAGAAGAGCCUCCAUCAGCAAUUUGGAACAUAUAUGCAUGACUUUUAUCCCUUCCAAUUUGGAACAGGUUUCAGAAUCAUCUUGGAGAAGAGAUGGAUCAUUUUCACUCUAAAUGCAGUGGGAAUCCUCUCUUUAUCCCUUCCAUUUUGGGUGCAUAACUAGUUCCACGCUCAUAAUGUUUUGGUAUCCAAAUGUUCUCUUUUUGAAAAAAUAAUACAACGGCCCCUUUUGAGAUGGGAUGUACGUGAGAUGAAAGGUAGCUCAAAAACAUAUCAAGGGAAUAUAUUCCCGAAAAAUUUUUUCUGAAGACUCGCAAUCCAAAAGAUAUAGAGAGAUAGGGACAUCACACCCUAGUGCCCCAUUGAAAUCAUCAGUUUAACGAGCCAGCUCCCCAAAAGUUCGCAUCUGGUGAACAUUCAUCCUUCCAGAGUGGACCUGUAAUAUCAAUUCAUCAAGGAAAAAUCAAUUAACAAUUAUUACUAAAUCCAAAAAUUGUAAGGAUAAUGGUGGAGUUUGAUGAUUAAGCAGGAACAAAAAAAUAAUCUCAAUUAGCGAGUACACCAGCAGGAUCGGGAUCCCUGGUUCCUUCAGAUGGAUGGGGGACUAAAUUGCUGAUCAAGUUGACUUGAUCUUAUCAAGGCAGGGUCUAGAAUGAAGUGCAAUUAAAAUGAAGCUAUUUGACAAGCAAGUUCCAGCUCAAGAAGCUUUGCCAUACAAAAGGACCCGGAAAGAAAUCUCAAAAUGAAAAACAACCUCAUGAUCAGCAUUUUAGAGCCAAAAAAAUGUGUUUUUUUCCUCUUUUUUUUUUUUUUUUGGUUCAAUCACAAAAUGAUACAAUUCACUUCAGGUUGCCAUCCUGUUUCCUAGUAAAAAGUGAUUAAAAAAAUUCAAUUGCAAUUAGAUUACUUUUCGCACGUCUCUCCCUAAUUCCCCUGUGAAUUGCUCACGUUGAAAGUCAGUUUCAAGGAACUGAAAAGAUCUGUGCAACACUGUAUGCAAACUCUGGCAACAGGACCUAUUUUUUGUUUCAAAACGUUAAUUUAAAACCUGAUAAGUAGAACCUGCAGGCUGCAAAACCUUUGUUUCAGAUGUUAAAGUCUCAUAAAAUGUGGCGAGAUAUCUUGCAAUGGCAGUCAGCAGUCUAUGACAAGAAUAAACUUCUUAAUGACUUCUACGCAAAGUCGGUUUGCUAAUCCUUAAAAAACAACUUAAUAAACAAGUUUAAUGCACCAGUGUGAGUAUAGCAUGCUCCAGCCGCUAAGUUGCUCAAAAAUUGUAGAACAUAAACAUUCUUAAUUCUUCAAAACAACUUUAAGCUGAGUUAACAUUUACUGAAAGUUUUAACUCAAAGACUCCAAGAAGAGCAAAGAGUAAUACAAAAGGCCAUGAGACAGAAAAUUAUCCAUUCCAAGGUAAAACUCAAGAAAAAAAAACACUAAUUAUAAUAAAAAUAAAUUCACUGCAGGAUAACCACAGAAGAGUACUUUCAGUUUAUUGGCCAACAAAAGGAGCCAAGGAUCACAAUAUUAAGGUUGGGGUUCCUGAAUUAUAUAUAUAUAUAUAUAUAAUAUUUCCAACAUUUACCUGAUGAACACCUAUUUACAAAACCUAUUCCAGGAGAAUGAAGGCUCAUUUCCUAUCCUUUUAGGGCAUCUGAUUCAUUCCCCUUAACCGCAAGUCCAGUGUAAUGCUCAAUGCCACGACAACGAAAAAGUGACCACCUACCAGAAGUAGCAUUUUGGACAAACCAAGAAUAGCGUUGAUAUGCCAAGCAAAUGGCAAAAACAUGUAUCCACUCCAACUAAGAGAGUCUAAAUAAACCUUCAAAGCAUUAACCUGAAAUCAAUGACAUCAAACUUCUACUGAAGUGCCCAGGAGUGCUUUUGAAAGGCUGGUUGUUAACAUUCUUCAACAGGAAAGAGAUAAUCAUUGGAAAAAAGGAGCAGACUUCGUUACUUGAAACAUAUAAUUUCACAGAAAAUGAUGCUUCAGAGGCAACAUGAGUCCAAGGAUUGCAAACAGUUGCAAUCUACUAAAAGAUACCCUGUGCCCUUUAUUCACCACUUUAUUCCUUCAUAUUGGGAACAAACUUCUGAAUUAUCUUAAGAAGAUAAGGAUCAUUUUCACUCUUUUUUAAUGAAUUCAACAAUUUGGAAAAAGUAUGUGAAUGCAAUGGGAAUCCUCUAUUGUCCAUUUCUUCAAGAUGCACCAGUGCAUCAUCAUAUUUACCACCCAAAAGAAGUCCUUGGACAAUAACAUUGUAUGUGAUCCUAUCUGCCGAACAACCAUUCUCUUCCAUCUUUAUGAAAAAGUCCUUAGCUUCCUUAAGCAAACCUUUUGAGCAGAGGCCUAGAAUCAUGGUGUUGUAUGUUAUAACAUCAGGAUCCAAUCCUUUGAGAAAAAGACUAUUGAAAAGAUCUCGAGCACCAUCAAGCCUCCCACUUUUACACAAUCCAUCAAGAAUGAUGUUGUACAUAGUUAUAUGUUUGAGAUCCAAUCUCUGAAUUUCCAUCUUAUGCAACAAAUUCAAUGCUUCCUCGAUGUGUCCACCCUUGCAUAAUCCAUCCAACAUCACACAGUAAGUAUACCGGUCAGAUAUUAUGGGAGUCAUUAGCAUCUUGUCAAACACUUUUCUUGCAGCACCAGACCUUCCCACCCUAAACAAUCCCUGCAAGACUAUAUUGCAUGUAACAGUGCUAGGUGUUAAACCUUUACACUGCAUUUCUUCAAAAAGAUGUACAGCAUCAUCUGCGCUCAUCUUCUUAAAAUAUCCAUUGAUCAAUAUAUUAUAGUUGACACCACUCGGAACAACUCCAUUAGCAACCAUGGUGUCAAAAACUCUUCUUGCUUCGUCCACUCGGUCCUGCAAGCAGUAUCCAUCCAUCAAAGCACCAUAUGCCACGCAACUUGGUCUCUCACCUUGCUUAAGCAUGGUUUGAAAUACAUCUUCUGCAGCUUCUACCUCUCCUUCCUUACAUAGUGCAUCAAUCACAAUACCAAAUGUAAAGACAUCUCGUAUGAUGUGAAAAUCAUUCAUCUCAGUCAGCAGCUUAGUAACCUCUUUCCAUCUACCAAAAUUGCAAAGACCCUGGAUCAAACAAUUGUAGGUAACAACAUCUGGGGCAAUGCCUUUCUCAACCAUCUCAUGUAAAAGGUCAAGAGCUUUAUCUACCAUUUUAUCCUUGCACAAGCUGUCAAUGAUAGUGGUGUAAAUUAUGGCAGUCGGUUUAACUCUUCCUUCUUUACCCAUAACUCUGAGAAAUUCAACGGCUUUGCCUGUGUUCCCUGCCUUGCAGAGUCCAUUAAUCACGGUUCCAAACAUGACCCCAUUGGGUUCACAUAAUUUUUCACAGAUGAUCUUCCCAAACAAUUCUUGCGCCCGGGGAACCAUGUGCUGUCGAAAGAGUCCCCUGAGCAAAGUGUUAAAGGUGGUCACAUCAGGGACAAUACCGUACUUGAAGAAAACCCCCAAUAUACAAAAUCCCAAAUCCACUCGAUUCAAAAGGCAGUAACAAUUGAUCACAGUAUUCAGGGUGUAAUCAUCAACCUGAAUGCUCAAGAAGUACAUAUCUUUGAAAACGCAAAUAGCAGGAGAAUAAUGCUUCAUCUUAACAAUACGGCUAAGGAGUUGAUUGAAGUGAAAAACGUAAGGCACAGGCCUGCUUCGAACCAUAUCAUUGUAUAAAAACAGAGCUUCUUCCAGAUUAUUGAUAUCGUUAUUAAUCAGAUUUGUCAAAACAACAGGUGGGGAGUCCAUAGCAUCAGCAGCAGAAUGAAAGGAUGAUAUGGGUUUUGAAUAGGGGUUUGGAAGGAGAAAUGUAGCGGCAGUACAAGUACUAGUAGCAGUACCUAUUUCAGCUGAUUCUUUCUGAAACAUAGAAAUAGAGACAAUAGAACCAAAAGCUCUUCUUUUUAACAUCAUGGUUGUCUUCCUCACCAUAAGAUUGUUAAUCAGGGAGAAGAAAGCCAGAAUCUUGAAAAGAACACAACAAGAAGUCUGAGGAGGGUCAUUUAAAUUUACAAGAAGGAAACCCUUUUUCAGUUUAUUGGAUUUGGAGCUGUGCAAAUUUUUACUGCCUAACGUGCAUUUCAAAUUGUAGGGUUCCAAACAAACAAGGCUCUUAACUUAACAGUUCGGGAUCGAUUUAAACCCAAUUUCAGACAAGUUUGAGUCCUGGCUGGAACAAGAACGGAUUGUUAAAUUUGGACAGGAGAUUGUUUAGAAUAAAUUUUCAAAGGGAUAAUUUCAGAAACCUCCGAGGUUUCUGAUAAUUGCAAAGACCUUUCCUCAACUUUAUUAAAUUACGCCUGCCUUCCUUGCUUUUACUGUUUAUAAAAUAAUAUAGGUCCAAAAGAUUUUUUUUUCUCUUAAAAAUCUUAAACUACCCUUUUUGUACAAAAAUAAAAUAAAAAUUAUUUUGCCAGUUGUUUUCUUCUAUAUUUCAACCAAACCUAUCAUACUAACAAACUAGCUUAACAAAUAGUUUAAUUUCAAAUUCUAAACCCAAGCAAUUCCAUUAUCAUAGGCAUGGAUGGAAUUAAUCAAGUUUAAGAUAAGGAAAUGCAUCAUCAUGACUAUAGAGAUUUUUAAAAAAUUCAUUUUGCCAAAAAUUUCAAACCCAAUGCCGACAUCUUCUCAAAACAAAAUAAUCUAACCUACCAUGAAAUCUUCAAAUAUGUUAACGUCUUAAAUACAGAGAAAAAACUCCAUCUCCAUAACGAAAACCACAACCAACAAUUGUCAAGUAUAAAAAAAAUAUAUAAAUGUACUUAUUAACAUCUUAAAAAGUUUUUUGGAUGAAUGAUAGACAAAUUAGCAAAUUUACCAAUUUCAAUUCCUCUUCCUCUUUUGGAAAAUGAUUGCAUUAUUUGUUCCAUUAUUAUUGUGUAUUUUUCAUCUCCUUUUAGUUUAACUAUGAAAUCAAAUUUUACUUCAAUCAUCAAAUCUAAUCCCUUAACUAAAUUUGUAAUUUGGCAAUUCUAAAGAGAAGAAAGGAGGAAUAGGAAUAUAUAGGAGAGUUUGAGGGAUCAUUUGUGGUGUGAUUGGUUACAAUUAUACAAUAGUUAGUAAUAAUUUGAGAGCAAGUUAUAAGAUGCAGCGGUUGAUGGAUGAGAACAGAGUGAUAAUAAGUGAGAGAGAAUCAUCAUUAAUUGUAACUUGUAAAUAAGAUAGUCGAAGAGGUUAGGUUUCUUUUUCUUUUUUUUCAAUCUCAUUUCAUUAUACUAUGAAUUAUUUAUUAAGUGAAGGUCAUUGUAAUCAUUUUAUUGUGAUAAGGGAGGUCAGUGUAAUUUGUAAAACUUGAGAGGAGCUGAGUGAAAUUAUCAUAAACCACAGGGGAGGUUUGGGAAAUUAUCCCAUUUUCAAAUUCUGACAGGUUUGAGUUCUAGCUAGAACAGGAAUCAAUUGUUAAGUUUGGAUACGAGAUUAUUUGGAAUAAUUAUUUGUAAAAAUCCUAUAGCGAUUUUUGUAAUAUGAGAUGCGUAACGUAUGUAAGAUAAAGAGAUAUUUAAAAUAAAAUUAGUUUAAAAAUGUGCAUACAACUCACUUCACAUUAUAUAUAUAUGCACUAGUAAUAGUUCACGUACUUUGCAUGUGAUUGUAAUAUUUUAAAAUAUAUUAUUCUUUACUAAAAAUUUUUUAUGAAAAUUUGAUCAUCAACAUUAUAAUAUAGUAUUUUUAUGUUAUUUAUUUUUGUAACCUAGUUACUUUUAAAAUUUUUAUUAAAUGAAAAGAGAUAGAAAACAUCCAAUGUAGUUGACAUAUCCCUUACGAUUAAAUUUGAAAUUAUGAACCAAAUACUUUUUUAUUUAUAGCUUGAAUUCUAACAUAUCAAAUAUUGAUAAUAUAUGAUCCAUCACGUAAAGUUUUUUUGGCUUGUACAUUCUAACAAUUGAAAUUUUAUAAAUAAAGAUAGUUGGAGUUUUUCUAUUUUCCUUUUCUUUUAUUCAUGUUUUUGGCACACUCCAGUGUGAAGCAAAAGCAACUAGUCUACUUUUGUCAUAUGGCCACAAUAUUUUUGGUUUUAGUAUUAGUUUUUUUGAUGAUCAUGGAACUAGAAUGAGAAUUGUGGCUAAUUAAUAAUUUUAAUAUUAACUUUUUGUAUAGUGCAGUGUUUUAUUUUUUAAUUGCCAACUUUUAAUUCAUAACUGCUAUCAUUAUUAUCAAUUAUUUGAACGCACUACAUCUGUCUAAUUACAAUUGUCACCAUAAAUGAAAUUUACUUAAUUUUAAAGCUUUUCAUUCGUUUAUAGUCCUAAUAACGGAUUCAUCAAAAUUUGAUUUGCUUCAAUUCGUUUAUGGUCCUAAUGACGGAUUCAUCAAAAUGAUUGUAAAAGCUUUGGAGUGUUUCAUAUCUAAAAAGUCAUAAGAAAAAAAUUACCUUAAUGAUCUUCACUUACAGGAGUUAUCCAUAGAUAUGCAGAAAUCUGAUGAAGCUCUUAAGAAAAUUUAAGUUUUUCAUUUGUCUAAUAAUAGGCACUCAGUUAUCUUGUGUUGUGUUAGGUUACCUGUUGCUUGGUUCCAGGACAAAUUAACAAUUCCCUUAUAUUACUUGAUGCUUAUUAUUGCUUUUUGUUUUAUGGUCUCUCUGGGAAAUAUAAACUAAACAAAAAGGGCCAAGCUAGCUUAGAAUGGGAAAUGACCAAAGGCUUUCGAUCCUCAAAUGGUUACAGACGGAAACAGGAUGAAGCAGAUAGUCACUCACAUAACUGCUGUUUGUCAAUCUCCUUAUAAACUCAGGCUCAAAAUCUAUUUCUUGUUUGGAAAGGGAUUUUCUAUCAAAAAAUCUCUACGUUUUCCGUGAAUACAUUUCCCAAUCAACUUUUUAUCUCACAUAUAUCAAAUCCUUACAGUACAUUUUCUACGAAACUCCAGAAAAUUGCAAUCCAAACGCAACAACUUAGGGUCAAUUACAGAAUGUAUUAUUGUUUAUAAUACAUAACAUGCCGCCUGUUAAAGCUGCAUUUCGUUGGUGAAUGCCAAAAUUUCCCACUUCUUAGUCAUACAUCAGGUCCUCUGACUACAUGGCUUUUCUUGCCAAAGUGCAUUGUGCCUGUAUAGAAAUGAGGAUCCACUUGAAAAUAGGAUGAGUAUACCCGGUGGGAUUCAUUUAUCUUUUCACAAGCACUUUCAUCGUUGAAAGGAUCUCUUUCUCCUGCAUCAUACAUACAAUUUUCAGAAGUUUCAUUGAAGAAACUUGGGCUUUGGUGAAAAUGGCCAAAGCCUCCUGCUGAAUUGUACUCAAUAGAAUUCACUUUCACUGCUAUGUGUGUCCAGAAAUAGACACAUCUGUGGUCCGAUUAGUCCAAUGCUUUGUGUCUUUAAAAGUAAGUACAUACAAAUCAAAUUGAUAACCUUUUUUGAAAAAAAAAAAAAAAAAAAUCCCCGGCAAGGGAGGAGUGGGACUCAAAAAGCAGGGAGAGUGCAGUAGAAUUUAAAUCCAAAAUCUCUAAUUCGUCGGGCUUCAAAUUUAGCCAUUAGAUCAAAUCUCUUCAAACAAAUCAAAUUGAUAAUUUAUAACAUGGUACUGAAAUUUAAUCUUUCCCAUGACACCUUUUUUUUUUCAUCUGGUUUUGUUCUUGAACUCUCUUUCAUUACUUUUUCUUUUCCCGGGGAAAGGGAUAAGAAAGAUGGAUUUGAAUAGGAGCACCGCCAAGUCACUGGACUUGACCGCCAAUACUUUUUUUACAUUGCUGCAUAGGUUGGAUGAUAACACAGAGCAGCUUAGAUGAUUCUUAAAGAACAAGUCAACAAACAAGUGAAAAACAUGAGUAUAGUAGUUUUACACCAGCAGCUGAGUCUCCUAAUAAGCACAAGUUCAACAAUCCUAAUUCUUGAAAACAACUUAAUGCUGAACCAUUACUAACUGAAAGUUGCAACUCACAAGAGUCUGAGAAGAGCAGGGAAUUACCGAAAAGGCAAUUAGAGCAGUAGCAACGUGUUGACUGCAUGACACCCACAGAAGAACACUUACCAGUAUAUUUGUCAACAAGAAGAGCUUCAGAGUAUAACAUGGAGCCUGGGGAUUCUCCAUUGCACUUUUUCGUACGUAUACCUGAGAUGAAGGCCUUCCCACUAAAACUCAUUCAACAAUGUGAAGGCUCAUAUGCCAUCCCUUUUAAGGAGUCUUAUUCAUUCCCCUUGCUGCAAGUUCAGUGUGAUGCAUGCUGCCACAGAAAUGAAAGAAUGGUACCCUACCAGAAGUAGCAUUUUGAACAAAACCAAGAAUAAUUACAAUAUGAUAAGAAGACAGCAAAAACAUGCAUCCACUGCUACUGAGAGACUCAUUAGACCUUGAAAGCAUUGACCUACAAACAGCAGACAUUAAGAUUCCAACAAAGUGCCCAAAAGUGCUACUACAAGGCUUGAUUGUUAAUAUUCUUGAACGUGGAUGAUGCAAUUACAAGACACAAGAUCACACUUCAAAACUCAGGACAGGCAAUAUGAGUACGACACCAGAAGUAGCAUUUCGGACAAACCCAGAAUAGUUUUGAUACAACAAGCAAACGGCAAAGACAUGUAUCCACUCUGACGAAGAGAGUUUAAAUAAACUUUCAAAGCACUAACCUAAAAGCAAUGACAUCAAACUUUCGCUGAAGUGUCCAGGAGAGCUUUUGAAAGGCUUGUUGUGAACAAGCUUCAACAAGAAUGAGAGAAUCAUUGAAAAGAAGACCAGACUUCCCUAUUUGAAACACCUACUUCCCAGAAAAUGAUGUUUCAGGGGCAAUAUAAGUGUGACAUCCAGGGAUCGCAAACGGUUGCAAUCAACUAGAAGACACCCUGUGCCUUUUAUUCAUGACUUCAUUCCUUAAUAUUGGCAACAAACUUCUGAAUUAUCUUCGGAAGAGAAGGAUCACUUUCACUCUCUUUUAACGAAUUUAAUAAAAUGGAAACGGUAGGUGAAUGUGGAGGGAAUUUUCUCUAUUCCAUUUCUUCAAGAUACACCAGUGUAGCAUCAUAUUUACCACCCAAAAGCAGUCCUCAGACAAUUACAUUUCACAUGAUCAUGUCUGCCAAGCAACCAUUCUCUUCCACCUUUACAAAAAGUCCUCAGCUUCCUUUAGCUAAUCUUUUGAGUACCGCCCUUGAUUCAUUGCAUUACAUGUAACAAAAUCAGCUUCCAUAUUCCAUACAUAUACUUUACCAGAAAAUGAUAUUCAGAGGCAAUAUGAGUGACAUCCGAAGAUCAUAAAUCAUUGCACUAUACUAAAAGAUACCUGUGCCUUUUAUUCAUGACUUUAUUCCCUCAUAUUGGGAACAAACUUCUGAAUUAUCUUGAGAAGAGAAGGAUCAUUUUCACUCUCUUUAACUGAAUUUAAUAAAAUGGAAAAGGUAUGUGAAUGAAGAGGGAAUCCUCUCUUAUCCAUUUCUUCAAGAUACACCAGUGCAUCAUCAUAUUUACCUCCCAAAAGAAAAACUCGGACGAUAACAUUGUACGUGAUCCUAUCUUCCGAGCAACCACUCUCUUCCAUCUUUGCGAGAAACUCCUUAGCUUCCUUUAGCAAACCUUUUGAGCAGAGCCCUUGUAUCAUGGUAGUAUAUGUUGAAACAUCUGGAUCCAGUCCUUUAAGAGAUAGGCUCUCGAAAAGAUCUCGAGCACUAUCAAGCCUCCCAAUUUUACACAGUCCAUGAAGAAUGAUGUUGUACAUGCAUACAUGUCUGAGAUCCGCUCUUUCAACUUCCACCUUGUGGAACAAAUCCAGUGCUUCCUCAAUGUGUCCACCCUUGCAUAAUCCAUCCAACAUCACACAGUAAGUGUAGAAGUCAGACAUUAUGUUAGUCGUUUGCAUCUCAUCAAACACUUUUCUUGCAGCACCAGACCUUCCCACCCUAAACAAUCCCUGCAAGACUGUAUUGCAUGUAUCAGUGCUAGGUGUUAAACCUUUACACUGCAUUUCUUCAAAAAGAUGUAGAGCAUCAUCUACUCUCGUCUUCUUAAAAUAUCCGUUGAUCAAUAUAUUAUAGUUGACACUACUUGGAACAACUCCAUUGGCAACCAUGGUGUCAAAAACUCCCCUUGCUUCAUCCAUUCGGCCCUGCAAACAGUAUCCAUCCAUCAAAGCUCCAUAUGUCACGCAAUUUGGUCGCUCACCUUGGUCAAUCAUGGUUUGAAAUACAUCUUCCGCAGCUUCUACCUCUCCUUCCUUACAUAGCGCAUCAAUGACAAUACUAUAGGUGAUAACAUUUAGAUGAAUGUGAAAAUCCUUCAUUCGAGUCAGUAAUACCUUAGCUUCUCUCCAUCUACCAAGAUUGCAAAGACCCUGGAUCAAACAAUUGUAGGUAACAACAUCUGGGGCAAUUCCCUUCUCCACCAUCUCAUGUAGAAGGUCAAAAGCUUUAUCUACCAUUUUAUCCUUGCACAAGCUGUCAAUGAUAGUGCUGUAAAUUAUGGCAUUCGGUUUAACUCUUCCUUCUUUACCCAUUACUCUGAGAAAUUCAAUGGCUUUACUAGUGCUGCCUGCCUUGCAGAGUCCACUGAUUAUAGUUCCAAAUAUAACCACAUUGGAUUCACACAGCUUUUCUUGAAUGAUUUUGAUGAACAAUUCUUGCGCCUGAGAAAUCAUGUGCUGUCGAAAGAGUCCCCUGAGUAAAGUGCCAAAGGUGGCCACAGUGGGGGCACUGCCAUUCUUGACGAAAAGCCCCAGCGCACAAAAUCCCAAAUCCGUUCGUUCCAAGAGGCAGUAAGAAUUAAUCAAGAUAGUCAGGGUGUACUCAUCAACUGGAAUGCCCAAAAACCACAUAUCUUUGAAAACUGAAAUCGCAGAAGAAUAGUGGUUCAUCUUAACAAUGCGGUCAAGGAGUAGAUUGAAGAGAGCAACACAAGGCAGAGGCCUCAUCCGGACCAUGUCAUUGUACAAUCCCACAGCAUCUUCCAGAUUAUUGAUCUCAUUAUUACUCAUAUUUGUCAAAUAUCCAGGUGGGUAUUUCAUAGGAUCAGUAACAGCAGCAGAAGAAUAGAAAACUAAUUUGGAUUUCCUGUAUCGGUCUUGAGAGACAAGCGAAACGCCAACAGUAGUACCCGAUGCUUUCCCAAAUUGAAAAGCAGAAAUAACAGCAGCAAAAGCUCUCCGUUUCAUCAUCGUCGCCGUCGUCUACGUCUUCGUCUUCAAAUUUGCUAAUCAGAUAAAACAGCUGCUUCUCUGCAAGAUGAAACUGUGAAUGGGAAAGGAGUGGUGGGUCGGUGGGAUAAUUCAAAAGCCAAUAAUACUAUGCUCAUCUUCUUCAUGUAAAUGUAGUAAUAAAGAGUUUCUUUUCUUUUUCAUCUUGUUUUCACUUUUAACGUUCUGUCGCUAAGGAAUGAGAUUUCUUUUUGGCCUUUUACAACUUCUCCUUUUGGGUUAGCUUAAAAUUGUUUCAAACUUUGCUAACUUUUCUGAAUGAAAAUCUUGGUAAUUGACUGAUAACUUGGUAAAAUCGGUGACAAGUGAUUAGUGAUAGAUGAUUAAUCUAAUACACUCUUGCUCACAUGGUGUGCCCAAUACCUUUUUACCGUAUUCUUGUUUGAUAAUACUAAGUUUGGAAAGUUCUUUUAAAAAAGAACAAAAAAAAAAAAAACUUGAGGAAAAAUCAUAUAGGUUAGUGUUGUUCAAAUGAACGGGGAGAUUUUACCGCUCUCUCGAAGAUUAUAUCCUCAAGUUAAAUUGAUAAGCAAUUAUUUUUUACUUCUAAAUUCUAACCAACAAUUACAAAUAAUAAGUUUCAAAUCUAAUUUGUAUAUUAAAAAAAUUACCAUAUAUGACAAGCUCUACCGAUUCCUUGUAGUGGAGUCUCUCAAUAUGUCAUUAUUAAAUAAAAUUUCAUUGACAAACGAAUAAAUACGAGAUGAAAUGCUUACUUUUCUUUUCUUUUUUCACAUUUCCCAGAUGGGAAGUUUAUUUUCCCGUCGACCUAUUGUCAAAGUUAGAUUAAUAAAAGAUUUUCUCUUUUUUCAAAAGAGCAGGAAUAAGACCUUUAGUUAAAAAUUAUAUAUAUAGUCAUUGAGGGAUACAAACUGAAUGAAUAGUUCCUCGAAAGAACCAUAGAACUCCUCACUCCUAAUAUUUUGGUAUCCAAAUGUUCUCUAUUUGAAAAAUAAUAUUACAGCCGUUUUUUAGAUAGAUGGAAUGUACGUGACAUAAAAGGUAAUUCAAACAACAUAUCAAAGGAAUAUGUUCCCAAAAAAAAAAAAAAAUUUUUUUUUUUCCGAACGCUCACAACCCUAACAAGCUCUCAUUAUCUAACCAACAGUUAGAAACAGACCAACACACCAAGAAUAAAGACGUGCGAAGAUAUAGAGAGAUCAGACCCUGGUGAGCCAGCUCUGCAAAAGUUCACACCUGGUGAACAUUCAUCCUUCCAGAGUGGAUCUGUCACACCAAUUCAUCAAGCAAAAAUCAACUAACAAUUAUAACUAAACCCAAAAAUUGUAAGGAUAAUGGUGGAGUUCGAUGAUUAAGCAGGAAAAAAGAUAAUCUCAAUCAGUGAGUACACCUGCAGGAUCAGAUCCAUGGACCCUUCAGAUGGAUGGGGCACUAAAUUUCUGAUGAAGCUGACUUGAUCUUGUCAAGGCAGGGUCUAGAAUGAAGGUGCAAUUAAAAUGAAGCUAUAUAACAAGCAAACUCCAGAUGAAGAAGCUUUGCCAUACAAAAGGACAUGGAAAGAAAUCUCAGAGUACAAAACAACCUCACGAUCAGCCUUUUAGAGCCAAAAAAGAAAUGUGUGUUUUUCUUUUCAUUUUUUUUUUCCAUUUACGAUCACGAAAUGAUCCAAUUCACUUCAGGUUGCCAUCCAAUUUUCUAUUAAAACUAAUUAAAAAAAAAAAAAUUAAAUGCAAUUAGAUUGCUGUUUGCAUGUCUCCCUAAUUCACCUGUGAAUUGCUCAUGUUGAAAGUUCAGUUUCAAGGAACUGAAAAGAUCUUCUCACCACUCCAUGCACACCCUUGCAGCAGGACCUAUUUUUUGUUCCAAAAUGUUAAUUUAAAACUUGGGAAGUAGAACCUGCAGGCUGCAAAGUGCAAAUCUUACAUAAUGCCCAUGGUUGGGCCCACUCCCCACAUGAACGACAACAGCAAACAAAGAGUAUUCAGAAUCGGCGUUUUCCACAGUGUUGCUCAGUUUCAGCUCUAGAGUAGAGGGAACACUACGCGAUACGACAACUUCUUGUAUCGACCAAGUUGUUCCAUGUAUUUGAAACGCUUCAGAUGGAUGACUAGAAUUUGAGGUGGCUUUUUAAUCUUCAUCCUCUUUUGAGCCUCUUGCAGGCUACUGCACUUGUCACAGAAAAACUUAUCCUCCGCAUUCAAGGUUUCUGUGGAACUGAAGUUUUUGAGACAGCUAGUGAUAGAACUAUUCUGUUCAAUAUCAAGGCUCAAGUCAAAGAAUGUCUCAUCCCUUGCUGUGACCGUCUCACACCUUAGACACCUUGUCUCAUUGGUAAGUAUUCCCUGAAAAUUCUUGUGUACCCAUGUAACCAGUGGCUCCUUGACACCAUUUGACCGACCAUUAUUCUGCCCAUUAGCAAUCCUUUCCUGAGAUGGUGGACAUUUUGCUGCUUGCGACUCUUUCUCCAGUAUAUCAACAAGUUCAUUGAGCAAGAAGUUCAAAAAUUCAUGGGCAUCCUGAUGCAUGUAGCCACGGAAAAGUUCAUUUUGUUUUCUCACUCUCUGAACAAAACGCUUUGGUGCAAUGACACCUGUUUUCUUCUUUUGUGAACUUAUCUGCGAGAACAGUUCUGCCAAACAAGUCAAGAGAUUUUCUUCUGCUUCCCCUAGAGUUUUCCCAUUUGCAUAAUACUCUAAAAAGUUGUUCCCUAAAUGGUACACACAAGUAUAACGCCUGCAAGACACUGUUGCAAUAGCAAGUAUUCCCAAAAUUUUCAAGGCCAAAAUAGCGUUCUCCUUCAGGAAACUGGUCUCCGAGGGCCUUCUCGAGCUUGGAACCCGUGGCACCCAUUACUUGGAGACCAUCUACAAGAUACCAAAACUCCUCUAUUAUUUUUCUUUUUUUUAAUCCAACAAUCUUGUUUGCUGUUGUAAUUUGCAUAAGAUACUUGACAUUUGAAAAAGUAGGCUUCUGAGAAGUCAAGAAAACUCAACUUAUUUAAGAAUGACUCUAAAGAAAGCAGGGCUCUUGUACAUUGCAACCUAAACCACAAUCAACUUAUUUAAGAAUGACUCUAAAGAAAGCAGGGCUCUUGUACAUUGCAACCUAAACCACAAUCAACUUAUUUAAGAAUGACUCUAAAGAAAGCAGGGCUCUUGUACAUUGCAACCUAAACCACAAAUGUAAUAGUAGGCUAAACAUCACAGUUUACCGUUUACCCCUGAAAAUCCCAAUUUUGAAAGUUCCAAAUUUCCCUUCCACCUUCGAUGAGAGGAUUGGAGAAUAGCCUUUUGAUUUCCAGUCUUGGACGCAAUUCUUCAUCACGUUCAUCAAGUCAAUUGCACCUUUCGCAACUAAAAUAAAAAAUCCAGCUUCAAUUGAACGGCAUAUUCCAUUUCCUAUUCCACCUAUCCACCGACGGCGGUCUCUUUCGGGAUUUCGCCGCACUUCAUCUUUCAGAUUGAUGAUAUCGUUGUGCAUCUCGGAUAGUUUCUUUUCCAAUUGUUCGUAGAGGUGCAGCGGGUCGGCAUUCUGUCUCUCCAGGGACCCAGUACUGCCCGGAGACGCAAUACCCUUGACAUCAGUCAUCCCUUUCAGUCGAUCGUCGUCGAUAGAACUGAGGUGGGACGGCUCGCCAUUCUCUCCCUCCGGAGACCCAAUCUCCUGGACAUCAGACAAUUUCUCAAUAUUCCGUCCGUCGACGAUUAAGUCCCUACGGCGGCCCACAUCCAUCAGUUGAAAGCAAAUGUGGCGGCUUUCUUGACUGCUGUAAGCCUAGGGUUUGCUGUCUUCGGGCAGUACUGGGUCCCUGGAGAGACAGAAUGCCGACCCGCUGCACCUCUACGAACAAUUGGAAAAGAAACUAUCCGAGAUGCACAACGAUAUCAUCAAUCUGAAAGAUGAAGUGCGGCGAAAUCCCGAAAGAGUCCGCCGUUGGUGGAUAGGUGGAAUAGGAAACAUUUACCUGAUGAAUGCCUAUCUACAAAGCCUACUCCAGGAAAAUGAAGGCUCAUUUCCAUUCUUUGAGUUUGUCUGACUCAUUCCUCUUAACCGCAAGUCCAGUGUAACGCUCAAUGCCACGGCAAUGAAAAAGUGACCACCUACCAGAAAUAGCAUUUUGGACAAACUAAGAAAAGCUUUGAUAUGACAAGCAAAUGGCAAAAAUAUGUAUCCAGAGAGUCUAAAUAAACCUUCAAAGCAUUAACCUGAAAUCAAUGACAUCCAGGGAUCGCAAAUGGUUGCAAUCAACUAAAAGAUAGCCUGUUCCUUUUAUUCAUGACUUCAUUCCUUAAUAUUCGCAACAAACUUCUGAAUUAUCUUCGGAAGAGAAGGAUCACUUUCACUCUCUUUUAAUGAAUUUAAUAAAAUGGAAAUGGUAGGUGAAUGCAGAGGGAAUUUUCUCUAUUCCAUUUCUUCAAGAUACACCAGUGUAGCAUCAUAUUUACCACCCAAAAGCAGUCCUUAGACAAUUACAUUUUACAUGAUCCUGUCUGCCAAGCCACCAUUCUCUUCCACCUUUAGCAAAAGUCCUUGGCUUCCUUUAGCUAAUCUUUUGUGCACAGGCCUUGACUCAUUGCACUGCAUAUAACAACAUCAGACUUCCAUAUUUCAAACAUAUACUUUACCAGAAAAUGAUAUUCAGAGGCAAUAUGAGUGACAUCCGAAGAUCAUAAAUCAUUGCAAUAUACUAAAAGAUACCUGUGCCUUUUAUUCAUGACUGUAUUCCCUCAUAUUGGGAACAAACUUCUGAAUUAUCUUGAGAAGAGAAGGAUCGUUUUCACUCUCUUUAACUGAAUUUAAUAAAAUGGAAAAGGUAUGUGAAUGAAGAGGGGAUCCUCUCUUAUCCAUUUCUUCAAGAUACACCAGUGCAUCAUCAUAUUUACCUCCCAAAAGAAGUCCUUGGACAAUAACAUUGUAUGAUAUCCUAUUUGCCAAGCAACCAUUCUCUUCCAUCUUUGCGAGAAACUCCUUAGCUUCCUUUAGCAAACCUUUUGAGCAGAGCCCUUGUAUCAUGGUAGUAUAUGUUGAAACAUCUGGAUCCAGUCCUAUAAGAGAUAGGCUCUCGAAAAGAUCUCGAGCACUAUCAAGCCUCCCAAUUUUACACAGUCCAUGAAGAAUGAUGUUGUACAUGCAUAAAUGUCUGAGAUCCACUCUUUCAACUUCCAUCUUACGCAACAAAUUCAAUGCUUCCUCGAUGUGUCCACCCUUGCAUAAUCCAUCCAACAUCACACAGUAAGUGUAGCAGUCAGAUGUUAUGGGAGUCAUUAGCAUCUUGUCAAACACUUUUCUUGCAGCACCAGACCUUCCCACCCUAAACAAUCCCUGCAAGACUAUAUUGCAUGUAUCAGUGCUAGGUGUUAAACCUUUACACUGCAUUUCUUCAAAAAGAUGUACAGCAUCAUCUGCUCUCAUCUUCUUAAAAUAUCCAUUGAUCAAUAUAUUAUAGUUGACACCACUCGGAACAACUCCAUUAGCAACCAUGGUGUCAAAAACUCUUCUUGCUUCGUCCACUCGGCCCUGCAAACAGUAUCCAUCCAUCAAAGCACCAUAUGUCACGCAACUUGGUCUCUCACCUUGCUUAAGCAUGGUUUGAAAUACAUCUUCUGCAGCUUCUACCUCUCCUUCCUUACAUAGUGCAUCAAUCACAAUACCAAAUGUAAAGACAUCUCGUACAAUGUGAAAAUCAUUCAUCUCAGUCAGCAGCUUAGUAACCUCUUUCCAUCUACCAAAAUUGCAAAGACCCUGGAUCAAACAAUUGUAGGUAACAACAUUUGGGGCAAUUCCCUGCUCCACCAUCUCAUGUAAAAGGUUAAGAGCUUCAUCUACCAUUUUAUUCUUGCACAAGCUGUCAAUGACAGUGCUGUAAAUUAUGACGUUCGGUUUAACUCUACCUUCUUUAACCAUAACUCUGAGAAGUUCAACGGCUUUGCCAGUGUUCCCCACCAUGGUGUCAAAAACUCUCCUUGCUUCAUCCAUUCGGCCCUGCAAACAGUAUCCAUUCAUCAAAGCACCAUAUGUCACGCAAUCUGGUCGCUCACCUUGCUCAAUCAUGGUUUUAAAUACAUCUUCUGCAGCUUCUACCUCUCCUUCCUUACAUAGUGCAUCAAUCACAAUAUUAAAUGUAUAAACAUCUCGUACAACGUGAAAAUUAUUCAUCUCUGUCAGUAAUACUUUAGCUUCUCUCCAUCUACCAAAUUUGCAAAGACCCUGGGUCAAACAAUUGUAGGUAACAACAUUUGGGGCAAUUCCCUGCUCCACCAUCUCAUGUAAAAGGUCAAGAGCUUCAUCUACCAUUUUAUUCUUGCACAAGCUGUCAAUGACAGUGCUGUAAAUUAUGACGUUCGGUUUAACUCUUCCUUCUUUAACCAUAACUCUGAGAAGUUCAACGGCUUUGCCAGUGUUCCCCACCUUGCAGAGUCCAUUAAUCACGGCUCCAAACAUGACCCCAUUGGGUUCACACAACCUUUCACGAAUGAUCUUGAUGAACAAUUCUUGCCCCUGGGGUAUCAUAUGCUGUCGAAAAAGUCCCCUGACUAAAGUGCUAAAGGUAGCCGCAUUGGGGACAAUGCCAUUCUUGAAGAAAAGCCCCAGCGCACAAAAUCCCAAAUCCGCUCGUUCCAAGAGGCAGUAAGAAUUAAUCAAGAUAGUCAGGGUGUACUCAUUAACUGGAAUGCCCGAAAACCACAUAUCUUUGAAAAUGGAAAUCGCAGAAGAAUAGUGCUUCAUCUUAACGAUGCGGCCAAGGAGUUGAGUGAACUGAAUAACAGAAGGCAGAGGCUUGAUGCGGACCAUAUCAUUGUAUAAUCCCACAGCAUCCUCCAGUUUGUUUAUGUCGUUAUUAAUCACAUUUGUGAAACCCUCAAAUGGGUAUUUCGUAGCAUCAGCAGCAGAAUGAAAAGCUAAUUCACCAGUAGCAGCAGCAAUAGUGCCUGAUGCUUUCUGAAAUUGAGAAAUAUAAACAGAAGCAGCAGCAGCAAAACCUCUUCGUCUCAUCAUCGCCGCCGUCGAGACCUGUGAUUUCCGGCAACUUCUUUAAGAGAGAGGAGUAAAGAGGAAAGGACUAAGGAGGGUUGAGUCUUGGCGGGUGUGUCGUUCAAAGUGGCAAAGUCCACCGAAAAGGAUUGAUAUGGUUGAGUCUUUGGUAUAAAAAAAAAUUAAUUCAAAGACUGAAUCAGAACAACCCUUUAAUCGGGCUAUAUACCUAUUAACUACUUACUCAACCUCUUUUGGUUAGGAAAAGCCCAAUAGCCCAAAGUAAAGAUAUCGGGGUGAGAGCAUUCUAAUCUGAUUUUUUUUUUGGGGGGUUAAAUUUUCAAAUUUCAUUUUGAUAACAUUGGUUGAAUUGACAUUUAUCAUUUUGAUGUGUUUACCAGGAUGAAAACACUGUAGUAGUUAAUUUGGAAAAUGCUCAAGAAUAAUCAUAUCAUUUUUAGUUUGGAAUUUGUAGCAAGCAAUAAGUUAUUGUAUUCCAUUUUGUUUGAAUUAAGAAUUAAUCUUUUGACAGAAAACAUUAGGAGGAGCGAAGUGCAUGUAAACAAAUGCAAAACUUGAAGUUGAAAUUGAAAUUGAGAUUUAUUGUCGACCAAAUAAUGUAUAUAUUUUCACACGAAAGAUUAAUUUUCAAAUUCAAUGGAUAUAUACUUUUGUACGAAAGAUUAAUUUCUAAAUUAAAUUAAUUGUAAAAUACGUAUGAGCGAAUCGUCUUAAUUGAAGUUCGAACGCAUUUGUUUUUUAACUUCAUGUGUUGAAUUUCAGAUUCAUUUGUUCUUGACCUUCGUUUUAUUUUAGGGCAGAUAGGAUUGUAAUGCUGGUUUAAAAAAUUAAGUGAACUUUUAGAAAAUAUUAUGGUCCUCUUUCGCUCCAAAAUAUCUUUCAUCCGAAUGAAUCGCUGCACCUAUGCAGAAGCUUUUUCUUCUAGUAAUUGGCCACGAUUGAAAUCGUUGCUGGAGGGGGAGCUGCUAUUCAUCUAGGACAAAAUAUAUGAUCCCAAAAAAAAAAAGAAUUACCACACGUCACAAACUUUGGUGUUUUUUUUUUAAAAAAAAAAAAUUGUUUUCAUUUUUGGGUACAUUGAACUACUUACUGCAUUAGAGUAUAGAAAAAGGGAUUAUUGGCCAUAUGAUUAAGAAACAGCCAUCACCAAGAAUAUCAUAUCAUGAUUUGGGUCUGAGUUCUAUGCCCUCAACAAUAAGGCCGCCUUUAAUGUGCUGACCAUCAACCUCUCUUAGGCACAUUUUCACCUCCUUUUCACUUCCAUCAUUGUAAAACUCACCCAAUUCAACCUCCAUCCAUCCAUCUUCCCUCUCAUGCAGGAUUCUUUCAUUCCUUUCACAGAAUCCUGGUGUCACUACCUCGUCAAGUGUCCGCAACAAGCAAAUGCUACACUUCUUGUGCCUGAGAAGAGUUAUGCCCCAAGAUUUCUGGUCCCCAGCAUCAAUGAUAACCUCCAAGGGAUAUGAAUGUAGCCCAUAUGCACGAUUUGCAAGUUUAACCACCAAGUAGGCUGCGUAUGUUGUCUUGGGUGACAGCAUUCGAGUGUUGAUCUUUCCAGUGAUAUCCAGCCAUGUUACCAUUAUCAGCUCAGCCACUUCAGGGAAUCUGUUGUCGGCAUAUAUGCAAAUAGGACAAUACAUACAAGGGAGAAGCUUUCAAUGAGUGGUGUGGUGUAGAGUUUUCUACUUUGAUUAAUUAGGAAUCUGAAGAAGUAUUUACCUUGACGGAAGAAAGGGUUUCCAGCACCAGUAAAGAUGAUUACUGGACCACGUUAUUGAGAGCUCCCUUGCACUCAACAUGUAACAUUUUUUGUUCGCAAAUUUGUCUAUCCAAAACGUCUGCAUUUGUCACAAGAUAAGGAAAUCAGCAUCAAUGACCAUCCAACAGCAUCACCAUUCUCUGUGAAUGCGGACUCUUUCCAAGUAAACGGUGCAGAUUUUGGUAAAAGAAAACGGCCAUGAUAAAGGGUUCCCACCGGGAUAGCGUGCAGGACAUAUAUAUACAUAUAUAUAUAUAUAUAAACACACACACUGUCACACAUACUUAGAUACAAGGUAUUAUUGUUCCUCAAUCAAUUCUUGCUCAAUUACUUCUGAUAAACAAGAGUACCUGCUAAACACUUGUUAAUAUACCUAAAUCUCAUCUAAGCUAUUACUAUAUGAAUUCCACGCAUCAAAAUUUCUGUCUGUCCCUUAUAUUUAUACACUUUUUUGGAUUCAUUUUAUUUUGCUUUUCCAAAAAAUUAACGCCUAUUUUAAUUUUACACGUGUUCAUCAAACACUCACUAGAAGCUUGGAUCAAAGAAAACAAGAAACGGAAAAUGAAUGCAAGAGCAAGAUUAAAGCAUUUGUUACAUGAAAAAAGCAGUGGAUGAUAUUAUCUCGGAUGAUCGAUUAUGGCUUAAUAAUUGUAUUAAAAUUGUUGGCCCACAUGAUGUAGUUGAUUGAAAACAAAAGCAAAAGCAAGAAGCAAUCGUGAACGUCAAAAAAAAAAACAAAAACAAAAAAUGGAGGGUUUGAAUAUGCACUAAUGCUUUGACUGAUGAACGGUGAUGAUACCUUGUUGCCACCAUCAAUGAGGAGAGGGUGAGAGAGCUUAAGAAACAGAUCCUUUUUUGAUUUGAACUCCAAUGGAGAAACCAAUCUUGAAAGAAUAUCCAGGUAAUCGGAUGGCAAGAAUUUCUCCCACAAAACUUCAGAUUCAGCUGCAUCACGGAUCCCAUUGGAGACCAGAGACGCCUGACAUGCAACUCGCGGAGAUGUGCGAGAGAGCACUUGAACUAUACAUUCUUCCGGCAGAAGUUCGAGGUUCAUUUCUGACAUAAUUUUGCCAGCCAGAGAGAUAUUUGCCAAAAAAAAAAAAGUAAAAUUGGAAGCACGGAGGAAGAGAUGAUGAUGAAGCUAGAAACUUGUGAAUAUGGGAGGAAAUAGUCAGGCCCUUUAUACAGUAAAGCCAAGACUGGAGUCGGUUGUUGUUUGCGGGUUUUGUUGUGUCGAGAAAAUGGUGCACAAAUGACGACAUUAGGAGGACACAAUGGGGAGUUUUGUUGUGUCGGGAAAAUGGGUCCACAAAUGACGACAUUAGAAAGACAUCACGUCAACACCACAUUUGUUGUACGCUAUAAAAAAAAGAGUGGGUCAAGAAAUCUGGAUGGCCCACGACCGUUUAUUAAGCUUGUAGAUUUUUAGCCGUCUGACUAUUAAGUGUAUAUUUGUCAUCUUUUUGACUAAAGAUAAUUUUAAAAUCUUCUCCUGAGACUUUUGUUAAUAUUACUUGACAUUUCUAAGAGUAUUGUGUUCGCAGCAAUUUAAGUUUGAAAGGUUGAACUUUGAUUAUCACCGCAAAUUAGGGCAUGCUUUCGAGAUUAUAAGUCAAACGCAUAAUUUUUUUGUUAAAAAGUAUUUCAUCCUUACCAACUGAACUAACUUGUAUUAGCAUGAAUUAAACCGUUACUUCUAUAUAUAUAUAUAUAUAUUAGGCAAAAAAUGACGAACUAAAGUGUCACUAUGAUAAAUUUUGAGGAGAAAACUUUGGAAGAAUAGAAUUUAAUCUUCUAAAUAAUACAUCCAAUGAAUACAAGAAAAUAUUUACAUUUUUUGUGAACACAUUUUAACCUCACAUAUUACAGCACAUUUUUUUACAAAACUCCAGAAAAUAGCAACCCAAAACAAGCUAUUGCUAAGUCUUGGUUUUUGUCUUGAUAGACAAUACUAUCUAAAUUUAGCAUAAUUAUUUUUAACGUUACACGUAGAACGUUGUCAUUUUUUCACGAAAUGGUUGUUUAUUUUUCAAAGUAUUUUCGGCUGUCUAAGUUGAAAAAAAAAAAAAAGGCUGUCUAAGGUAAUAUGCCUCCACAUUUAGAAGGAUAUCUCUUUGAAUAUAAGUCGUAAUUUAGCCAUCUCUUGGGUUAGAUUCAAUGUGGUUGAAUUACUGAGUGGUAAUAUGUUGAUAUAAAUUCUCAGGGGAAAAAGUGGACAAUUGCUCCUUCAACUUUCAAAAAUUAAAUAUGAAGCUUGCAAAUUUUUAUAAAUUUCUUACUUUUAUCUCAUUUUUACAUCCCUAAAUUUUACAAAAUUUCUUAUUACUCUCACAUUGCUCCCACUAACAAUAUAACAAUUUUUCAUUAUCCUAUUUGAAAAGUUAAAAAAAUACCGCUUUGAAUUAAAAAAAUUCAAAUCUUUUGAAACAAAGCAGAAUUUAAAGUUAAUAUAAUCUUUGUCUAACAUCUCUUCUGUGUAGCGAUAUUGAAAACUCAAACAAUAUGUUAUUAAUCUAAAAACCUGUUCGAUAACCCAAUUGAAUAGUUAAAUUUAAUGGGUUCAAAUCCAUCCAGAUUGGCCAUUUUUUCAAAAAAAAAAAAGUUUUUUAAAUACAAUGCUACAGUAAUACACAAUAACUCAAAAAACAUCUCAUCCAUAUAAUAUGUCAAAUUUUUCAUAUACACUGCUACAGUAAAUUUUUUCAAAAACAUCCCAAAUAGCUAAUCCAAAUGGAGCCGUUAACAUGUUUAGAUGUGUUUGACAAUAAAAAAUAGAACAUCUGAAUUAAUUAAGUGGCAUUGAUUUUCUUAGAUAAAACUUGAUCCCAAAAUUAAAUAAUAAAUUAUUCACUUAUCAUUUAAUGUGAAAUACACUCUAGUGUAUCAGAUUUAGUACUUAACAAUUCAUAACUUGAUGAAUUCAAACUUCAGACAUCAAGUUAUGAAUUGGCACCCUAAGUAAAUUUUGGCACAUGACUCCGUCAUUGUAUACUAUCAUUAGAUAAUUGUGAUCUUAUUUGAAAAAAAAAAUCGACAUUCAUAAGACAACAUUUGUACAUUUUUUUUUGUAGAAAUCAUUAUUUUAUUCAUAAAAUCUAAUAGCAAAAAAUACAUUAUCAUCAAACAUGUUACAGAAACAACAUAUUUGAUUACAGAUACAUCCAAUUUGAAAAAAUUACAAUGUUACAUCGUAAAUUACCGUGUAUAUAUAUAUAUAUAUAUAUUUAUAUAUAUUGGUCCUUAGUAAACAACGAUUGGAAUAUUGACUAGAGAGUAGUAUACUUUGAUAACGUCAUUUUUCCUCCAUCAUUGCGUUACUGGUUAAUUUGAAGAUUUUAUUAUGGGAGAGGAAAAUAUAUAUUUCUUUGCAUAAAAGGGGAAAAAUAGCUCCCGUCAGUAUUUAUCUUGUAUUUUUCUACCGUAUCGGUCACGGAACAAAAUGAAUGAGCCGUCAUUUCAUAAAUCAUACUCCCUCCGUCCCACUUUGAUAGUCCUGUAUUCCUUUUUCAUCUGUCCCAAAUUGUAGUCCACUUUCCAAUUGAAGAAUAUAGUUGUAUUUUAAUUUUCCUAAAAUACCCUUAUUCUAUGUAAGUAGUUGUUACUAUAAACCUACCCCAUUUAAUGAGAGUUGAUUCUUUUUUUACCAUCAAUUCAAGUUUCCAUAAAAUUGUACCAUAUUUAAUGUGAGGGUAUUUUAGGAAGAUAGCAAUCUAAAUUUACUUUUCCAACAAAGUUAACUACUUUUUCUUAAACUGUGUGAAAAAAGAAACAGACUAUCAAAAAGUUGUACUAAAAUGCUAGUGAUAAGAAGUUGUAGGAAAGAAGGUGCUAAUUUCUUGACAACAAUAAUUACUUCAAUUAAAUUAAGAAUCUUACAAAAUAUUUAAGAAAGUGAAUAAUUUCCCAGGGUCUCUUUCGAAAGUCGGGUUGCGGUAUAUGCACGUUUCUCUUUGGUUGGUUAAUCUCAUUUUCGCAUUUCUCAACUUCUUUUUUUUUUCAUUUUGUGUUUUGGAUAGAAUAUUAUUUAAAAUAUUAUUUGACAUAUUUACUGUAACACUUUUUGUAAUCUGAUGCUUGUGAGAUGAAAAAGUGGUUAAAAAUAUAAAAAGGUGAGUUGAAAAAUAUAUUUGUGAUACAAAUGAAAUAUUAUUUAAAAAAAUGCAACUAUCCAAGCAGUUGUAAUUGAAAUUGUACUAAUGUAGAAUUGACAUUCAAGUUAUCAUGUCGACAUUUCCUAUGUUUCAUACAAGACUUUUCUUUUCUUCUUUUCAGGUAAGACAAUAAUCGAGUAUCUAUUAUUUGGAUAUAUAUAUAUUACAUAAUAAAAAAUAUUAAAUAUUAUUCUAAAUAAUUUUUUCAAAUAAUCUCCUAUGGGAGUCGUCGCUUUCUACUCCGGCGACCGGGGCGGUGAUGUUACAAGAACUUGUCCUAGUCAGUUAAUGGAGACGCAAGUGUUCGUUGUCAACUCUUUGCCCGCAUCAAAAUAGCACCAAAGGAACAAACUUUCGCAAGAAAGAGCAAUGACAGAAAAGAAAAAUUGCUGCGCUUUCUGUUAACACAUUUUCCAAUCACCUUUUUACUUCACAUAUAUCAAUCGGUAUAGUAAUUUUUCUAUAAAAAAAAUCCAGAAAAAUACAAUCCCAACAAGGGCUAAACUAUCCAAAAUUAAAAGUGGCAAAAAAAAAAGAACAACUAGAUUUUCAAAUGGUUCCUUAAAUUUCAUCUGAUUGAUUUAACUUCUAUGUACAAGCUCGAUAUGAAAGCCGGAAAAAGGAUGCCCUGUAGAUAUUAUAAAACUUCUAUGGUUCCUUUUUUGUGUCUUUCAAAUCCUUACCUAGACAAACAGAACAAUGCCCAAAAUUUAACACUUGAAAAGAGAACCAAAUUGCACCAGAACAAAUGUGCUAGCUUUUAGGCCUAACUUCAAUGCCUUCUAUGAUGAGUCCUCCCUUCAACUGAUGACCCUUAAUUUCCAUCAAACUCAUUGUGAUCUCUUCAUCAACCUCACCACUAAAGAACUCCCCCAGAUUAAUUUCCAUCCAUCCAUCCUUUCUUUCAACUGGCAAUCUUUCAUCACCUUCAUUCACCCUCAUCUUUAACAUCUGCACGCGAUUCGCGUAAAACAGGCUCUGCAUUUGCUGCUUCGUUUCAUCCUUUGGGCGCAAGUAUGCUGUAUUUGUUACCACAUUAUCACCUACGUUGACAGAAAUUUCUGAUGGAAUACAGUCAAGCCCAAAUGAUUGACUGGAAAUUUUCAUGAUGAGAUGAGCACCAUAAGUUGUGUUAGGAGACAACAUCUGUGUUCUUAUCUUGCCUUCGAUUUCUAUCCUAUUUGUUGUUUUCAGCUCAGCCGCCUCGGCAAACCUGCAUAAUCAAGUCAUAAAACUGCAAUUAAUUAAGAUUACUAGACUCGGUCAUAUUUGAUUUUCCUAGCUUAGUCAAGCACUCAAGCGUAAAGUCCAUUCAAAUUCUAUACAUGUAAAAGCGUAUCAAAUUGGGCAAAGUUUACCUUGAUUCUGUCAAGGAUUUCCAGCACCAAUGGUUUGAUUCAUUGCCAUGCAAAAUGGAAAGCUCUCUUGCAGAUAGUGUGAAUGAUUUUCGACCGCUUGAUUUUUCUAAUGCAAAGCUCUGCAAUAGUUUAUAACAAUAAAAAAGUCAGCUCCAGAAGUAAGAUCAUCCCAGUUCUGAUUUAGACUAAUAAAAUAUCUUAUGGACAUUUCUUAGGAAAGGAAAUUUCUUCCGGGGUCUAACCCCACAAGUGGACCAUAUGUGUUCUUGGAAGUCAAUGCAACAAAAUACAUCACCAUUGAGAUGCAAACAUGACUUUCAAUAUGCAGGAAAAACAGUGGGGUCUGAAAUCAAGAAUCAAUCAGUUUGCAUUUGUUCAUAAGUUUCAUUUUAUCAUCAACUAAAUUAGGAUGACACGAACCUGUUUGAUUGCAUAAACUCUUUUACAAAUUUACGUUUAAUAAUUUCAAGAUAUCCCAUGAAUUCAUUUCUCCUGCUGCCCCAAGCGGAUGUUAUAUAUGUUAAAACUUUUCCAGAAUGAUUGAGCAUGACUGAUAAAGGACUAACCUGUUUACCUCCAUCUAAGAGGAUAGAUUCAGAAAACAGAAAAAAGAGCUCUUUCUUGGAAGAGAACUUGAGGGGUUUGAGGGUUCUUGCUAGGAUAUCUCGGUAAUCAGAUGGCAAGAAUCUCUCCCAGACCAAAUCUGAUUCUGCAGCUGAUCGGAAACUGGAAGAAACCAUGGACAACCUGCAUGCAUCUUCAGGAGAUGUGAGGGAGCAAAUUGUGGAAGCGCAGUCUUCUGGCAACAUGUUAAAAUCCAAUUGCGACAUUUCUGAUUCACGAAAAUCAAGAAACAGAAAUGAUCGAAUCCAAUUACAAAACUGAAGUAAAUAUGCUCAGAUUGUUCUGUAUGGAAAAGGCAAAUGGAUUUGCACCUUGGAUGGUCUUCUCUUCUUAUAUAUGUGCCGUGUCAGUGAAAAGAAGCUUCCAAAUUAGGCCCCAUGGCCUUGCCUUGGCUACGUUAACAAUUUGGCUACACAAUAUUGACUGGAACAGGAUUGGCUGGAUUUCUCAGCCCCACUCGGUGGUCUUCGCUUGUAAUUUCCCACCGUCUGUGUGAAAUCUGCUUGAAGUGGAAAAACACGCCCAUAAGGUCAUGAUCCUCUGUUUUUGCCAAUUGCCAUGUUCAAGCAUUGGAUUGGAGAACAAAGAUUCAUUUGAUUUUCGGCCAUCUACAGCAUUCAAAACAAGUGGGACUGCAAGAUUUUUGUUCUUAUCGCUUUAUAGGAAUAAUUUCACAAACCUCCACUAGUGUUUAUGCAAAUUUCACUCAGCUCCCCUUGCAUUUGAAAUAAUUACAUAUUGAUUUGGUGAUUUACCAUAAAAAAGGUUAUAAAGGCUACUGAAACAUUAUAAAAUGCCUUCAAAUAGAAGAAUUAAAACUUAACGAUUUCUAGAAGUACCUCUCUUGAUAAUUCGAUGAAAGUGUUUGUGAAAAUUUGCAGGGUGGCUAGUACUUGUCGAAGGCAUGAAUUGAGAUUUUUUCUUUUCUUUUUUUUUUUUUUUUGAGGAAAAGCCAACUUUUAAUAGCCACUGAAGUAGUAUUUUAUAGGACGACAAACACUGCAAUCAUGUUUGCAUUAUGACUUCAUUUCAUGUAUAAUUUUGCGUAAUAUUUUAUAGACCGACAAGCACUACAAUUAUGUUUGCAUUAUGACUUCAUUUCAUGUAUUACUUUGCAUAGUGUAAGAAGUGUUUGAGAAACAAUUUCAAUGUAAAUUUGUCUAUCUGUGUUUGUUGGUUUUUGGUAAAAAAUAAUUAUGUGCGCCUAUUCUUUAUAUAUAUAUAUAUAUAUAUAUAUAUAUAUAUAUAUAUAUAUAUAUAUAUAUUUAAUGGAUUGCUGGAAAUCGUCUAGUACGAUUGAUAUACAUUGUUGCCCUAAUGAACGAUAAAACAUGCACUAAAAUCAUAGAUUUCAACAUGCACUAAAAUUGUAGAUCUGCAAUUUAACAUAUACAAAAGACCUGAAAAAUUAAGAACAGAUUUAAAAAGUACCAUCAAUUUUAAAAUCAUCUCCUCGUAGAAUAAAUCGUUGCAGCUCACUCUGUGCAUGCUGCAAUUGUCAGAUCUGCUAAUCAACAGUUAUAAGCUCCAAUAAAUAUGGUGAGAUCUGCCGACAUAAAUCUAAAUCUGAAAUAAAUUCAAAAUUAAACAACAAAAUAAAGAAAAAAUAACACAAAAUCUCAUUAGGAACUCCUAUUCUUUUAACCAUGGAGAAGUGAACUAGAAUAACAGAAAUUCUUAAUACUUGGCUAAUCUAGCCCCACUAUAUUCACCUCACUAGGUACUUUCUCUUCCAUACGUAUAUUACAGGUAUUCCAAGAUGCCUCAUUUCUCGUUUACAUUUUGAAGUAUAAAGGAAGGAUUAAUCUUUUAUAUACUGAUAGUAUAUACACCAUCACCAUUAAAUGCAUAAUAAUUCAUCUGAAUUUAAAAUUUAAAUUCAAAUUUGCUCAUGUGUCAUGCAUCUAACCAUGAUAUGGCCAUUCUGAUUUUAUAAUGGGAUCGGUAUCAGGGAAUCACUAAGCAUCAGAUGGUCAGCUGUAAUUAAGCCAAAUAAAGCCCAUAAGUCCAGCAUUCUUGAUAAAAUUCCUUUUCUCCUCCACAUUAUGUCCAGCGUUUUGUACGAAAAAGCUUUUGUCAUUGUCGCAGAGCUAAUGACACAUGAUGAUAUUAAAAUGGAGUAAAAAUUAGUAAAGCAGAAAUAAACAAAGAAUUUCCAUCCAAAGAAAAUUCAAAAGGAACAAAAAGAAGAUAGUACAGGACUCGAAUAAUCUUUUUUAUGUUGUUAAUAGUUUUUUUGUCUUUAUUAAGGUAUUACCCCAGUUUAUAUUUUGUAAUUUGGCCUAAUCUGUUUAAAAUCAUUAAUCCUCACAAAAAAAGUGAUUAUUUAAUUUCGUGAGAGAAUUUAAUUGAUUCAUCAUUCCAUGCAAAAGAAGAAUUAGAAAGGAAAUACAUUCUUUUUUUUGGGUUAGGAGUCCUAAUAUCUUGUGAUCACAUUGGGUCUCGACUAAUUCAGAAUCGAGUAUUGUAAAUAUAUUAUUGAUUCAUUGGUCAAAGAGCCAAACUUUAUCCAUAGUUCCAAACAAAUAAGACAAUGGUCUUUAUCAAGAGCAGCCAACAUAUGUAUAAAGAAGAAGAAGAAGAAGAAAAAUAAAAGACUGCGUAUUCAUAAAGUUUAGGCUUGUGUCAUUUUUGAUCAUCAAUUGACACGUAUACGGAAUUAAGAGCAUAAACCGUUGUCAGAUCAAUCGUUCUAUAACGAUAUUAUAACACCGCCUAAACAAGAUAUAUUGCUUGCUUUUGUUUUGACAAAACUAGAAAAAUAUAUAUAUAUUGUUGAUUCAUUCGAACAUCUUGACUGCAUUUACGUAUGUUUCACGGGUCAGAUGUCUGCCACCAAUCUUUGCCGCAUUAACUCUUCUGUCAAGUUAAUUGAACGCUAAGUGUGUUAAUGCAUGUUGUACAUGCACCCGUUCGAAAAAUCCAAAUUUUAAUGUACCUUUCCACAUUGGUGCCUUAAUGGACAUUUAUUGCAAUAGUGCUUAGACUGCAUGAGGCACUGUACCCUUGUAAGUUGCAGAUCCAAAUAGCGGCGGCUGAAGAAUCAUGGCGAAUUUGUAAGAGGCUUUAACUCCAAAGUGGCCUUUUCAUUUCGUCUAAAAUUUUCUGUUAUCUACAUAAAUUGCUUUCAUUUUCAAGAUAAUUAAGGUGGAUCUUUCAGCUUAAAUAUAAAAUAGAAGAAUCAUCCGAGAACGAAGAGAAAGGAAAGAUGAAUUAAAGCGAUAUACAAGUCAUCAAAAUUUUAUUCAUGAAGGAUAUUUUGAAACAGCAUAAUAAUAUUGUCACAAACCUAUUUUCUCAUGAGUCGAUUGCCCAUGUCAAAUUAUGAACUAAAUAAAGUAAUUGCAGUGCUCCAUUCUUAAUCUCUCUUUACAUCAAAGUUUUCGAAGUAACCUUGCAAUCAUAUGACAUAUAAACUCACAAACAACAAAAAGUUCAAUUUAUAAAUAUGAAUAUUUCACUUGAAAAGAAUUUUGGAGUAAUUUGAAGAUACUUGGUUUAAUCGUUUCUAUGUGACAUUUUUUUUGUUCAUUAGACAAUUGAUUAAAGUAAAGUAUCACUGUCCAUCAAUUUGCUAGGCAUAAUUUCAGAAACCUCCUCCCCUGAGGUUUCUGAUUAUUUCAUUGGCUUCUCUCUAAAAUUUGAAAAUUACAUUAACUUCCCUUGAAAUUUAUUAUUUUAUAACAUCUAGAUUCAACCAAUAAUUAAAAAAGUGAUAUUAGAAGGCAGAAGAUAAUGUAAUUCACCAUUACCCCUCAUCUACUAAAUUAUUUAAUUAAUCUAAUACCAACCCAAACAUUAAAAAAAAUAUUAGAAUUUGUUGUUUAUCAUCAGAGAUUAAAUCACAUAUGGCAUCAAAAUAGCAUAUCAUUAUAUAUAUUUAACUUAAUAUAAGAUCCAAAUUACUCUUUUCAGUUACAAACCCUUCGUCAAACAUGAUCAACAACAGAUAGUCAACAAAAUCUAUAACCAAAAAAUUAUAAAGACCAAACCUUAAUACCAAAAAAAUCUUAGCAACUAAUCUUAAUAUGUUAACAAAAAUAUUUGUGAUGUUAAAGUUUGUUCUUUGUAAUAUUUUGGUUGCAAAUUUUUUGAUUAUUUAUUGUUGAUCAUGUUGACGAUGAAUAUGUAACUGAAAAGCAUAAUUUGAAUCUUGUAUUAAGUGAAAAAAAUAAAAUAAUAUACUAUUUUUUGAUAUUAUAUGUGAUUUGAUCCCUAAUGAUAAAAGGCAAGUUUUAGUAUAUUUUUCUUUAAUGUGUGUGGUAAUUAAUUCAAUAACAUGGCAGAUGAAGGGUAAUGAUGAAAUCAUAUUAUUUUCUCUCUACUGAUAUCACUUUUUAAUUAUUGAUUGGGUCUAAAUGUUACAAAAUAAUUAACCUCAAGAAAGAUUAGUGUAAUUUUCAAAACUUAGAGGGAGGCCUGUGAAAUUAUCAGAUACCUGAGGAGGGGUUUCUAAAAUUAUCCUAGUUUGCUAAGAUAAAGUAUUGGCACAAGAUUUAUACAUCAAAAAAAAAAAAAAAAGUUUUGGCACAAGAUGGAUCAAAUCGAGUUGACGCAGUCAAAGUCAGGUCAAAUUCAAGAUUCGAAUUUUUCUUUGCAAUUUUACAAAUGCUUUGUUGACUACUCAUAUUAAAUAUUUUCGCAUUGUCAUUUUUCACUUUUACAAGUGUUUCACGAAUGUUACUCACGAAAUUAAAUAAUAAAUACUCGAGCUCAGCAAUUUUGAAAGCGCGGAUUUGUUGACCUGUGAAGUAAAGGACCUUUUUUUUCUUCUGGACCUUGAUUUUCCAAAGCGGUACGCAUUCUCGACUUUCCUUGCCCCUGCAUUUGCCAUCAACUUGCAAUAAUAUCUGCAUGAUCCGACUCGCGCGAUGCUGGCUGUCCAUUUGCUGCUUCUUUUAGCCUUAUCGGCUGCAAAUAUGAUAAUGAAAAACAUGUUGAUAAUGUAAGCAAGUCAGUGUGUAAAUAAAGCGUAAAUAAUGUGUAAUCUAAACAAACUCUCUAUUUGCGGCUUCCACGAAAGCUGCAAUUCCUGAUUGUGGUUCCAGUCUUGAAGAUUUGGUUCUCCAUCUCUUUUGCAAACUACGGUUUGAGUUGGCAUUUGUAUAACUUCCAUUGCAGGUUGGAUAGUGAAUUAUUUGUCACAAUUUAUUUGCUUGUAUCAUCAAUAUAUUUUCUAAUCACCUUUUUAUCCCUUAUAGAGUAUAUUAAAAAAGCGCUAUAUUAAUUUUUUUUUCAAAAAAUUAUCCCAAUUAAUAUACUAUCCAAACACACUUGUACGAUGUUUUCCCUGCUCUUUGAAUAUGCUCGUUGUUGAUUAUCUGUCCCCAUGCAAACUAAUAUAUACUAAAAAUAUCUUUUGUUUGGAUACCUCAUUUUUCCAAAUAAUAUUUCACUUGUAUCAUAAACACAUUUUCCAACUUACCUUUUUAUAUUUUCAAUCACCUUUUUAUCUCACAUACAUCACAUCACAGAAAAUGCAACAGUAAUUAUUCCAAACUGAUUAAUAUAACAGAUUAUACCAUUUAUAGAAUGAUGAAACUUUGUUGCUUAUAUACCAUUUUUAAUCUUAUCCUUUUUGCUGUUCGUGACUCUAUAAUUUCCAACUUGCUCAUUCUUGGUCAUGUACUUCCAUGCAAACAUAUGUAUCUUAUUAGAUACUUUGCCAAAUUUUGUUUCCACGAAUAUGCUCAUUGUUGGUUAUGUAUUUCCCCAUGCAGAUUAACAUAUCUUAUUACAUACCCCGUCAGUUCUUAUAGAAUAAUAAGCCUGGCCUCUAUGACUUAUCUACUGAAGCACGAAAAGCCUCGUUUUUUAUGGUAAACUACCAAUUCAAAUUAAUUGCCAGAUCCAACAAAGAUUCUACUUGGCGUAUUGCUCUCUGCUUCUCAUGCUGCUUCAACAUCCUGGCAACAGAUUCAGGAUCAAGCCCUUCUUCAUGUUGUGCUUCAGUCUGCUGAGAACGAACUUCUUGGAGCAAUGCAGCAACCUCCCUGACAAAAUCUACCCUUAAGAGAACAUUAUCGGCUUCGACAGGCAUAGCUGGCGCCAACGGUCCUUCAUGCUGAGAGAACACACAAUUCAAGCAAAAGGAACAUCCAAUCAAAGGAAAGAUGUCAUGGGCAAGGUUUAAGGUCUGGGAUAUACACACACAUCUCAUUACCAAAUUAAUUAGCAAAUUAUAAUGUCCAAUGCUCACGCUACAUGAUUAAAGAAAAAUAAAUGAAGCCAUAUUGGAGCUCCUAUAACAAGAAUAAUAGCAAUAACAGUUAUAAUAUUGAUAGCAAAGCACAUACCAUCGCCGCAUCAAAUCCUGAAAGGAUAAGAUGUGGAACAGAGAUCCAACCAUGAGUAUAACAACAUUCUAUGUAAGAGAUCGAGUACAAAGAGUGAUUCACUACAAGAACUUCUGAAGUUUCCCAUCACGUUCUAAUCUCUAAAAUUAUGAUUCAUUUGGAAUAUAUUAAGCAGCUGUCAACGCUAUACCUUAUCAAUGUCAAAACCAGCUGGUGCAAGGAUAGUAAAUGGGUCCUCCCGUGGAAAGGUAUCAAACAUUCGCUUUUUGCAUGCCUUUAGCCAAUCUUGAUCAUCAAAUCCAUCAUGCAUAUUUAAAAGAUCAUUAAGCAACCUCAUGGCAGGUGUAGCCUCCCGUUUCAAAAUCUCAGUCUAAGAUGUAUGCAAAACUCGGUUAAUCAGAUACCAAAGAUAGACAAAAAGAGGAAAAAACCGCUAAAAAAGAGUACCUAAAGAAAAACGAAAGAGACAUCCAAACAUGAAGCUAGGGCACAUCUUUUAACGAAUGUGGAGUAAACUGCUGGUAAACAAUGACCCUAAAUUCAUGAUAAUCAAGAAGCAGAGAUACAAAUUGGAACAAAUUUGUUUUAAUGUGUUGUUCUUAUCCAAACAUUAUGCCUACAACUGCAACAAGAUUGUACCCGCUUAAAGUUAAAGUGCAUUUCAUCCUGGUAUUUGGGUUUUUCUUAUAUGUGAAGAAUCAUUUCAGAUAGUGAAAGGCAUAGAAUUAGGUCAACAAAAACCAACAAGUUCUAGAGUUCAACCUUGCUCAUGUUCUAUAUAAGAGUUAUAGGACAUGAGCUGAAUCAAGUUAUAACCCCACAAUUCAUGUCACAGUCACUGAUUAAGUUCCAUUCAUCCAAGCAAGACCAAGAGAGGAAACUCAAUAGAAAUAUCACAAAAAUCCUGUACUUUGUGUCUAAUGCAGCCAGUUAGUACAAUUUUAAUACCUCAACCCGCCUGUACAAGAGAUCAAGACUUCGAACUGCAUCUUUUUCAUCCUGGGAAGAUGUAUGAGUAAUCAAUCACUAGUUUCACAGCUGAUCAGAUAAGAAGAACAAAAUAGGAGAGACAGCUAUAUAUAUAUAUCAGAAAAUGCUUCACAGAUGUAAUUUUAAGUCCUUUAACAACAUUGUGUGCCACUGCAAUAUGUUUGCUGGUUAAAGAAUAUUUCUUCAAGGCAGUAGGAUGUAAUAAAUAGGUGCUCUUGCACUGAAUUGUUCAGAUAUCUUUCAAUAAUUAACUACUACUUAGAUUCCAUCAGAAGAAGUGUCAUGAUGAGAUCCCUGUUAAAAAUUCCAGAGGGCAGUAGCAGAAUAUUUUGUCCAGUACAGCAUAUGCCACCUUAAAGGAAAACCAUAGAUAACCAGGAAAAGUUGCAAUAAGUGAAAAACGUACAUCACGCCGAGCAAGAUCAAGCCGAUUCCAUAUGACCAUCAGAACAAUUUCAUUAAGCUCCCCUUUCUCAGCAGCUUCCUCAAUUUUCUACUUGCAAAGACCAACAAGUAGUAUCAAUAUGUUUUCAAAACACAGGAAGAAAGGAAGAUACUACUUGCUACAGAAAAACCUCCAACUUUGUGAAUAAUUAAGAAAUAGCUUAGGUAAGCCUAUAAACUUGUAAGACACUUGCUCAAACUCGCUCUUGCCAGAUUAUCACAGAUUGGAGACCAAGGAGGCCCAUCCUAUUAUCAACUGAUUAUACAAUACAUAGUGAUAUACCUCUUCCACUUCCUCAGCUGAUUUAAUAAAGCUGGCAACCAGUUUCUUGGCCUUGAGAAGCUCUUCCUGGGGAUAGUCUUUCAUCCUCAAUCCAAUCUCCCUGUAUUCUUCAACCUUUCUUUCUUCUUCCUCUUCCUCCUCUCUACGCUUUUGAUGAAAUUCCUUAGUUUUCUCACGUUGCCGGGCUUGCCAUUCCUAACCUGAUAAAAGUUAGACCCCAGCUCUCAAACAACACCUAAAAUGACUACAUUUUUAUGCAGGUACACGCACUAUUCACCAACUAAAGCUUUUAUUUUUGUUUUGUUUUUCUUUUCAAAAAACAAAAUUUAACCCAGUAUGCAAAUUGCACUGUUAACCAAAGAUAACAAAAUAUAAACCUGAAAUCAGAUACUCAAGAACAAAAAGAGAGAGAGAGAGAGAGAGGGCAAUGCACAUACAUCAUCAUAAAACUCUUUGGGAAGCCCAUAAAGGUCUUGCUCUUCUACGUUCUUGCUCCUACAGACCGCUGCUUGGCGAACCAACCCAAAAAAGGAAAAAAAGAAGAGUAAAAAUAAUUAGAAAGGAAAAAUGAGGAUCGGGGUAAAUUGCCAAAGCAAAUAGGGGGAUACAAACCUGGGGUAGGGGGGAGCCUGAUCCUUUCCAAAGAAGUUGGGCAUAAAACAGGAGUUAGAGUUGUGCAAAGGGCAGGAGUGGAUGGCGGCAAAGCCGAGAAGAUGGGAGUAGGAGCGCCACCUAGCCGCAAAACUGCUGCUUCCAUUUGGGAGUCGCCUAGGGAAGAAAUUAAAGAGUAUUAUUGCUGCGGUUCUAGAGUUAUAUCACUAAAUCUUUCCAUUUCCAGUCGUAAUUUAAAGAAAACACUGACACUCUAAAGCUAGGAACUCGACUUCCAGAAAAUGAAUUUCAGCUGAAAUUCAGGAGACAUGCUUACAGUGAAAUAGAUUUUGUGGAAAUCUGGCUUCAAAUUCUUGAGGAAAUGGAGCUAUUUCGCUGCUGAAUGAAAUAUUUACAGUGGCUCAGAGAUGAUGAAGAAGGCGAGACUAGGAACACAAGGCAGCUAGACUUGCACCAAGCAAAACUCAGGGAAGGCGCGAGUUAGCAGAGGCUAGGCCUUGAUGGCGAAGGAAGCUUUUUCUAGAAUUGUGUUGGGCCGCUUCGCUUUUUGGUAGAAAUACGGGAGUGUUUGGAUAUAAAACUUAUCUCAAAUAAUAUUUCGCUUACGUCAUAAACACAUUUUCCAACUCAUCUUUUUAUAUUCCCAAUCAUUUUUUUAUCUCACAUACAUCACAUCACAAAAGUGCUACAGUAAUUAUUCCAAAUAAUACCCUAUAUUGAGAGGUGUUUGAUAAGUGAUGUUGGUGCAAAUGGAAGGGAUUUGAAUCCUUUAACCAUGAAAUUUCGAGUUCAAAAAUCAUGGAAAUGAAAAAAAUAACGUUGGGAGAACUUCCCUGCAAGGGAUCCGACCCAAUUCGAACAGGAUUAGUCGCAGAUCGUAAAACGGACGCGGACACCUGUGGGUUAUACCUAAAAAAAAAAAAUGAGUUUCAAGACAAGGACUAUUUCAAUCAUGUUUUUUUUUUCUUGAAAGGUCAAUUAAUAGUUUCAUAAAUCCCUUCUAUUGAUUUUAUUAUUAAUUACUAUAUGGUAGGGUUUAACUUAUCUAUUGUUUUAUUACAUAAAUUCAUUCUAAAAUCACUCUAUGGGUUAUAAUUAAACUCAAUAUUAUUCUCCAAUUUAUUUAUACCCAUAGUGUUAAUAAUUGUAGAAUUUGAACCAAACAGUCCUUUUUUAUUGCACUGGAUAAAGUGCUUAUUAAUAUAAUAUUGUUUGGAUAUGUGUACAAGUAUAUCAUUGGUGCAUACAACUUAUUUCAUUGACUAAUAGGUAACUUUAAAAUGUAAUUAUCUCUUUAUUCAACUCAUAAUUCGUGAUGAAUUACCAAAGUUGAUAUUUUAUGUGUUGAAAAAUAGAAUUUAUUCAAGAAAAGCACCAAUUGUUUGCUUUUGCUAAAAGUGCUCUUGAGACCUUAUUCUCGUUUGUUUUAAAUUUUGUAAUAUCUGAUUAUGAAAAAUGAUUAUAGAGAAUAGUGAAAAUAAACAAAAGUUACUUUUUGAUGCAUUAUGAAUUCUAACUUUUUUGGACCAUUAAAAAUCUAUAAUUUAAAUACAAAAGUAAAAGACAACAUUUAAAAAAUUAAUUAUUUAUAAUCAGAAUCUAUAAAUGUUUUUUAGUUAUGUACCAAAUUACUAAUUCACUUUUGUACAUUGCUCUUUGACAAACAAUUUCAACAUGCAUUGCCACACUUAGGGUCCGUUUGUUUCGGGUGAAAAUGUUUUUCAGGAAAAUAUUUUCCUAAUUUUCCGUGUUUGGUUGCACAAAAGUUACUGAAAACAUUUUCCUAUGUAAAAUAUUUUCACUCAUCUUGUGGAAAACAACUUCCCUUCCAAACUUACUGAAGUUGUUUUCCGAAAUGCAUGCAUCCCGCCUGUAGUAUGUUCCAAACUUACUGAAAAUCUUGUAAUAUGUUCUUUUUUUUUUUUUAGUAUAAACAGACGGAUUCGAACCCAAGAUCUCUUCCUUACACUCCCUCCCCUGUACCACCCAACCCAACCCAACCCUCCCCCUAGUAUAUUUAAAAUUAAAAAAAAAACCUCAUUCUGCUCAUCCUAUGCUAGUAAUUAAUUGUGUAUAAUAGGGACAUUCUUUUCUAGAGAAACUUUCAGCAGUGAGAGUGCAAGAUAUAUGUCACAAUAAGUAUUGCAUGUGAUUGAUAUUUGACACUAAAUGGCCAGCAAUUUGUUUAUUGCUUAAGGAGAUAUUUUUUAUUCAUAUAUACAUUUCUCCAAGAUUUUUUAAAGUUAAACAAUGAGAUAAAUUUUCUUAUUUUGCAUGGGAAGAAGUAUGUAGUUAUAAUGUGUAGAAAGUAAAGAUAGAGAUAAAAGUGAAAAUAUUUCAAAAGUUAAACAAACACCAGAAAAAUGAAGUAAGAAAAUAUUUUCAAUAAGCUAACCAAACACCUGAAAAUGAUGAAAGGGAAAUGAUUUUCAUGAAAAAUUACUUCCACGGAAAAUAUUUUCCCAAGAAAAACAUUUUACUUCCAACCAAACAGACCCUUAAGUGAGUCGUUUUUACCUAUUCUCGUGUAGUGUUUUGAAAAUAUUUCUAAAUACAUGUACCAUCGUAAUAAAUUUUUAAUCAAACUUUCGAUUUGUUUUUGAAGCAAAAUGAAUUAUUGUCAUCCAUUUGGACCUUCAUAUUGUCUUCAAUCUUAAUAUUACCUUGGCUUUGCCACAAAAACAAUGACUAAAAUGUAGAAAGCCUUUUUUCUAUCAAUUUUUCAAAAAAAAAAAAUCAAUAUUAUCAACAAUAGCAUGAAAUCUCAAUCCUUUUCCAACAAAUUGUGGAGAAAAUUAAGAUAGAUUGAAUGCCAAAGAAAAAAAAAAAAAAAGGGAUGGGGCUAAGAAUUCUGGGUCGGGGAUGAUGGGCCUUGAUCCAUCGACAUAAUUUAAUUUAUGUUCGGACGAAAAUGCCCUUACAAUUUCAUCAAAUUUCACCUCUGCAUCUAGGGUUUAGAUAUUCUUCAACAAGCGUGUAUUUGUAGGCAGCGAAACCCUAGUUCUUGCGGCUGGAGAGAUACAGAGAGGAGGAAAAAUGGUGUCGCUGAAGCUUCAGAAGCGCUUAGCAGCAAGCGUACUCAAGUGCGGGAAGGGAAAGGUGUGGCUUGACCCGAAUGAAGUCAGCGAAAUCUCCAUGGCCAAUUCCAGUUAAGCAUCAUCCUCUACUAAUUUUGCCGAAAUAUGGAACUUUUUUUUUCUAUAUUUUUAUGAUAUUCUCUUAUUUUCUUCCUAAUUAGUGUUCAUUUGACAAAUUUUCCUAUUUUUAUCCGGAUUUCGUAGGUUUUGUUUUCAGAAUAUGGAUUUGAAUUUGUGAAAAAUUGGAUGGUUUAGUUCCAGGAUUCCCUUUUUCGGGGGAAAAUUAGGUGUAGUCUAGGAGGGGCUUGACCAUAAUUGAUUGGUUCUGGGCACAUGAAUCGCUCUGCGAUACUCAUCUACCUGGCCAGCCUAGUACAUCGUCUGCUGCUGACCCCAAGGAGGAUGAUUUCUGCUUUGGGAUAAAUUACUAAUUCAAAGAUUAUCUUUUUGGUGUGAAAUAUCUUGUCAAACUAUUUGAUCAGUGUAGCCCUUGAGUUUGGACGACUUUCUGCUUGGAUUUUCUUUCAGAGGUGUCAUCAAUGGCAAGCUAAAGCCUCUGGGUGCAUUCUGUUGCUUUAUGUUGUUUGACUUAUUCAUUUGGGAGUUUAGAGUUUAUCAAUCUUCUUCUGGACAAGGAUAAAAUGUUUGGGGUUGGAAUUGCAACUGGGGUUUUGAUAUGCAAUUACAAUUUGUAGCCUUUUUCUCUUUUCUUUUUGGUUUAGCUUUUCAAGAGGUACAGUUUGGCAUGAGAUUUGUGAAGAUCGGUUUUAACAUGGGGUUGAGGUGGUAGUGCUCAUGCAAUCAAAUUGGUUUUGAAGCAGUUCCAUUUAGAGUGUAAGACUUGAACAAGGAGAACUUGGUGGGAUGACCUGGUGUGGUUUUCUGUUGCAGCGAUGGUAGGUAAAAUUCAAACUGAAGAGAAAGAAUGAGGAAUAUGGAGGAUAAAGAAGGAGAAAUUGCUACCUAAAAGCUUGUUCUUUUCCCAGGUUGAAUUAUCUAUGCAGUCCAUGUUUCUUUGGACAAUGACUACGUAUGAUAUUACCUUUAGUACAGGAUGGCUAUAGAAUUAAAAACUUAAAAUAUCUCCAUCAUAUACUUGAUAGAUGAUGUUGAACGUGUUCUCAUACUUGCUAUUGUGCUCUUCUUGCAAGCACCUUUGAAUGAGUUGAUUUCAGUUCUCGUGUUUCAUAAAGUUUCUUCAUACUAAGUGUUCUUCUAUAUCGUGGCAGUUUCAUUCUUAAAUAGCAUUUAUUGGACUAACAUUAAAUGGAAACUGAGCUUUUGUUUCUUGCUAAUUGGUUGUGCUCAUGGAUUGAGUGACACUUUCAUCCUUUGGGUGCAGGGCAAAACAUUAGGAAAUUGGUCAAGGAUGGGUUUAUUAUUAGAAAACCGACAAAGAUUCAUUCUCGCUCUCGUGCACGCAGAAUGAAGGAGGCGAAGAGAAAGGGACGCCAUUCUGGAUAUGGUAAUUGCUGUUGAUAAUAUUGUGGAGCAUUUUGCUCUGUCCUCCUCUUUUCAUUACCAUUGUCGAGCAGUUGCUGGCAUGUUUAUGCACGUGUAUCCAGUGGAUAUGCUGCAUUAUAACUUCUUAAACUGGAAAUGUCUCCCUCACUUUUAAAGCAGUUUUUGUGGAUGACUGAUUAUCAAUGUUCUAGGUAAACGCAAGGGUACAAGGGAAGCAAGGCUUCCUACAAAAAUCCUCUGGAUGAGGAGAAUGCGUGUCCUCAGGCGUUUGCUUCGGAAGUACAGGGAGGCCAAGAAGAUUGAUAAACAUAUGUAUCAUGACAUGUACAUGAAAGUGAAGGGUAAUGUCUUUAAGAACAAGCGAGUGCUAAUGGAAAGUAUCCACAAGUCAAAGGCUGAGAAGGCAAGAGAAAAGACAUUGUCUGAUCAGUUUGAGGCCAAGCGAGCCAAGAACAAGGCAAGCAGGGAAAGGAAAAUGGCCAGGAGAGAAGAGCGUUUGGCCCAGGUAUGUUUGGCAUUUGAAACCAAAAUUCUUUCAAUCUAAAGCCACAAAAUCUAUUCUUUCCCAGGUUAUUCUCUGUAUCCACAGUGCUUUUCAUGCCUUUGCGUUCUAUUAGUAUUUGUUUAGAAAUUCGAUUGUUGAAUAUCAUGACACAUUUGAUAUUUAGUUUAAAUGAUGCUGGCUAUUUAAUCAUGCUCUUUCCAAGUCUAAAAGCAAGUUAAUUCAUUAUGUUACAUAAUGCCAUGCGGAUUUGUCAAUGCAUUUUGUCUUUAACUUGUUAACUGGAUAUGCUCUUUAAUUGGUGACUCUGUGCAGGGACCUGGGGCAAAAGCACCACCAGCACCUACUUCUCAGCCAACAGAGUGAGCAAUUAGUCCUUCAAACAUGGUAUAAAGUAAUCAUUCUUGUAUGCGAUUUUACUAAGAAAUACUAAUUUUCUUCUUGCAGGGGAACAAAGAAGUCGAAGAAGUGAUCUGUUGGAAUUAAUUAUAUAUGGCCGUGCUGAAGCCACCUAUUUGGCUAGUCAAGUUUUGUCUAGUUUCAUGUUACUUUUAUUCCUAAAUUAUGGUCAAGGACCUCUCUAUAAACUUGGAAGUUUGUUUGUAAGUUCAGAUUGUUUUUGUUGGUGAAUGGUGAAACUUAUUUCUGUUUACUAAUUGAACUCGUAUUAGGUGUGAGUUUAUUCUGCGAGACUCUUGAGAUUUUUACUGAAUGCGCUUUCCUUAUUUUCAUUUGUGCUACUGGUACCCAGUACCCACCAACCCGUUUUCUUCCUUUUUUCCUCCCCUCAUCCCAAGUCUUAAAGGCCUUAGCUUCUGUAACCAAAGACUUCUCGUCUGAUAAUAUGGCGUCAAGAUGAGUUUUAACUCUGCUAAUUGAGACAUAGUGACGAGUAAGUUUUUUGUCGCGUAAAUAUUGAGAAGAGGGAACCUCUGUUGGUCUUGAACUUCCCAAGACAUUUGUACAUUUUGACUGGCCUUGAGAUGACGGAAUACACAUGGAGAGAUGGAAGUUUAUGACUUUUUAUGGAAGCUUAAUUCUGGUGAAUUUUAGUCCAUCAUCCAAAGUAAGAUUUAGACAGUAAUUCGCCAUUGAAGAGCCAUGAUUAUGUUGCAUGCCCAAGUCCAAUACUUUAUUUACUACUGCACAAGUCUUGCCCUGCUUGGUAAGCAUAUGAAUGUUGGCGCUGCAUCUCCUAAAGAUACUAUAAAUGAUCAAAUCCAUCGAUCAAAAAACUCUGCUGGGGCGGCCGGAAAAGUCUAGCUUCAUUCUGCAACUCCCUUUACGCUAACAUACUAAUCGAACAAGAACUCUUUUAUGCUGAAAGAGUUGUUGGUUCUCCUUGUGGGAUUAAAAUCUUUAGUUGCUGAAAUGAGGUCCCUCGAAGUGAUUUCAAUAAUCUAUGAGACCAGAUGCUUCAUGGGAAUUUUUUUGACUUUUCUUUAAAAGUGAACUCUUUUCAGUUAGCCACCUUAAAACAGAAUAAAGCAUCGAAUCCGGUAAAGAGCGCGUGAAAUCGUUAUUCCAAAGUUCGUGGAUUGUGGCGCCUUUUACCCACCGUUAGCCAUUAGGCAACUGUCAUACGCGCCUUAUCAUCUCUCUCUGUAAAGGUUUCUGCUUUCGUAGGUUAAUGGCAACAGCCCACAAUUUGAAACCUGCAAUUGUAGUCUCCAGCAUCCCUUUUCCCCAAUGCUCUUCAUUUACUAGUACAACUCCCCAUCUCUCUAGAUUCUUUGGUACUGACCUUUCCAAAAUUAGCCGCCCACAAAAGCUGCUGCCAUCAAUGCUGCUUCUGUCAAGGAGACGAUUGGCUCUGCCUUCAGUUUCUGGAAUGUGGGAGGCCUUGACCGGCGGUAGCUCAGCUCGUGAAGCUGUGAUGGCAAUUAGACGUGGAAUGCUUCUCUUCAGACAGGUAGUUUUUGGUACUUUCUUUAAUUUUUUAUGCUAAUUGAAUUCUUAUUUAUCUUGGUUGAUAAUCUUAUCUCUGUCAGUUGCAAUGUUUGUUUGGUUGAAGGGUGAUGUGCUGGGGUCGUUGGUGGAAUUUGACAGGGCAAUUGAACUUGAUCCUCGACAGAAAGCCCGUGAGUCAACCGUAAUAUGGGAUAGCAAAAACAUAAAUGUGUACAAUUUAACCCCAAAAUGAUCAGUUUACAACGGCAAUCAAACUAAUGGGAAAUUCGAAGUGAAUGGUUUUUUGAAAUUCACUGGGAUUUCGGAGAAGUAUAUAACCAGCCGCUGACGUUGUGGGUUUUAACUAAAUAUGUUGUUGUCCGGAAUUUAUGGCGAAUAUCCAACACCGUCAUGCAUCAAGCGUCCAACUUCUCUGUCUUACUUUGUAUAAUUUUCAAAGUUUUAUGCUAGGGGUUGUGCAGGGUUGAUUUCCCGAGUUUUGAUGAAUGUUAAGAUUUGUGGAAAAGCUUUUGGUUAUAUAGUAAUUUAGGUGCUUUUUAUGACUAAUCAGAUCUUUGGCAGAGGGGACUGUCGUUAUACUACCUUGACAGGUAUUGGAUUGAUUUAUUACCUGCGCUUUGCAUUUUGAUUCUUUUCUCUUUGCUCUCUAGCUAAGAUCUUUACUUCAUUCUCCCUAGGUUUGAGGAAGGUGCAGAGCAGUUUCGGUUGGAUGUUGCUCAAAACCCAAAUGAUACAGAGGAAUCAAUAUGGUGUUUCCUUUGUGAAGCUCAAUUAUAUGGAGUAGAUGAAGCAAGAAGAAGGUAUCUUGAGGUAAAUCAACAAUUAGCAGCUCGAUUCAGAACCGUCGUAUCCUUUCCAAGAAGGAAGAUUUUAGAUGACCGUAUGUGCUCGUUAGAGUCAUUUUAGACACGUCAUCUAGAUUAAGAGAACCUAAAGGGCUGCUAAAUAUUUAGAUUUCAAUAUGCACUAUGCUCUCUUGGACAUGUUGCAGCCGCAGCCUGGAACUACUACGUGUAAAAUACUUUAGUCUACUCCUUGAGGUAAUUUUGUCUUUGAAAAACGAAAGAAGAUUCAAGCUUUUAAAGACAUUUCUGGGUUUAAUUCUGUUUCCGAUUUUCUGAGCCCUUCAUAAGACAUUUUGGCUUCCAUCUUUUCACUUGAACUGAUAAGUACUGCAUUUGAACAGUUUAGUUAAUACAUGCAGGUUGGUAGAGACCCUCGUCCUGUCAUGAGAGAGGCAUACAGCCUGUUCAAGGAUGGUGGUGAUCCAGAAAAGGUCUGGACUGAUGUUGGUUCCAGUUUAGGAUAACUAAUCAAUCUGUAGCUCGUCUAAGACCUUGAUUUUCCUUGGGAAUACAUAAAAAAAGUUCUAUUUUUCCUGAAGUUAAGUGCUAAUUAAAUUGUUACUUGGGAGUAGAUUCUUCCAUACAAACAGUGUGUUUUGUACAUGGUUACUUUAUCACCUAAUUGAUAUGGGGAUACUCUUAGUCUAUGUGUCUAAGCUAUUCAGGGCAAUGCUUUAGCUAAUUAACCGAUUUCUUUGCAUAGCUUGUGGCUGCAUUUUCUGGCGGACGGGAGAAUGAGUAUUUCUAUGCUUCUCUAUAUGCUGGACUUUAUUAUGAAUCCCAGGUAUUACAGUUGCGGUCCUAAAACAUUCUUCCAAUUUGUGAUUUAGGUAUCAUCAGAGCCUUCUGCAAUAAGUUUAGAACAAGAACUUUUGAGUAGUGUAGGUGUUGAUUCCAAGAUAUAUUGAGGGCUGAUGAAAUAACUUUACGUCAUGUUGACCUUUGCAGCCUUGAUAUAUUUCUGCAAUGAAAUGUUUCCAAAAGUAGCCCGUUAAUGAAACUUUCGUGGUCAUAUAAUGUAUAAACAUUGAAGGAAAAUGACACACAUUUAAUCAAUUGCUUAUACAAUGUUUGCUGUAUCUAAUCACUUAAUCACUUAGUGGUUUAAGGGAACAGACAAAUAAGGUGGUCCACUGAUCACAAAGGAGGAUGUCGUCCAAGUACUCUUCAACAUUGACACUUUGAACCAUCAUAUUCGGUGCACAUUCUGUCACUCAGUUGUUGGCUAUCCUACUUGGGUGACACUUGGAGCACCCCUUUGUUAAACUAAGAUUUACCAAUAGAGACUGAACAAGUUUAUUUCUAUGCUUGAUGUUCUACAUGGAAGUGUUAUGCUGUAAUUGUGAAGGUCAAUUACUUGCCUCGUUACUAUGUUUGGAAGGUCAUUAGCAUGCAGUUUUCUCUUACGCAGGACAAACAGGAUGAAGCAAAACGUCACAUUGUUGCUGCUUGUCAAUCUCCUUAUGGACUCAGGUCUGCUAACAGAAUAUCUGCCCAUAGUCUAUAAUUUGCUCAACUUAAAGCUUCAUUUAAAUGGUAAAAUACCAAAAUUUUUUUAUUCUUUGGUAUCCCUCAGGUCCGAUGACUACAUGGCUUCUCUUGCCAAAGUGCAUUGCCUGUGUAGAAAUUGGGGCUCCACUUGAGAAUACAACCAUGACCCGGCAAGGUUUGAUCAAUAUUUUCCUGAGUGCUUUCAACAGAUUCUGAUUCUAGGUUCCCUAUGUAUUGCUUCACUUGAUUAGGAGGACGCAAUCAGGAUACUAUUGGAAAUGAAUCUGAAGGAUCUCCUUAGCGUACAUCACGUAUGAUCUUCAGGCACCUCAUCAUAGAAACCUGAGCUCUACGAUCUGUUGUUAAGAAGGGUCCAUAGACCUCAUCGUGGAAUUUUACUCGUGACUUCUUACAGAAUAUCAAAAUCUUCUGUGAGGAGGGGAUAUAAAAACCAUUGCGUAUGCUGCAUCACUCAGUUGUUGCAGAAAGUACCAUAGAUGAAGUUGUUUCGCGCAAGUUCAAAGAACACCUCGUUAGGAAUUUCUGUAUUGUGUAAUAUGCCUAGUACAUGCUCUAUCAGUUGGUGGUUAACUAGCUCAAUUCUGCAUAUCUAGUGGCUUCAUACACGCAGAUGUGUGAAUGUAUCAUGUAAAUAUUUUGAUUUCGAUAAAUAUCAUGCAUUACAAUUUUGCACCUUUCAGAAAGCAGAAUACUUGCAGUGCAGCAACUAGCAACUAAAGAGGAAGAUAACUGACGAAACUGGCUUCUUGUGAAUUGUGAUUGUGAUUGCAGGGCUUCUUUUUCUUUUGCUUUUCCGUAGGACAAUUGGCAUCACCAGUUUGUAAGACCAAAACAAAUAAGCAGGAGGGGCCGUGAGGAUUUGUGUAUUCAUCUGCCUGAGCUUCUUUAAUCUCCUCCUCCUUUUCUCCUGUCUUGUUUGAGAAAAACAUGACAGUUUAAGCAAGUCAUAGUGAUUCGGAGGGAACUGUAACAAUCUCAUUAUCAUCGUUUAGAGGGCUUUUGUAUUCUGCCACCCAAAACCAUAAGCAUAUCAAAGAAAGCACAAAUCAUUCUAAUGCAACAGCUCUUUUUCCUUUAAUAUGGUCUAAUUCGUGUAAUUGAACCACGAUUCUACACUUAAUGGAUGCUUUCUGGUCAAUUCUUAAUUGUUCCCUUUAAGGUUAUGAUGAUAUAAAAUCUUGCUCAUUAUGGACUCUAUCUAGAAUGGAUGAACGCUACAGCUGAGCUGAACAAUACCAAGGCUUUGUCCAUCUCUAUCUGUUCUUUCUACUCUUCAAUUUGCCGUCAUUUCACUCAAACCAAAAUUAUUUCUUUGAGGGUUGCAUAAAUGAGCAUCUCACAAGAAAGUACUCCGUAGAUAUUGGCUGGAGUGAAAAGUGAAAAGGGUCUUCCCUAAUGGGAAAGGAAAGGCCAACAAUCAAGCACUUCAAUUAUAAUAAUAUGACUAGGAAUCUGGAAUAUGCUCUUCAUGAUACAAAAUGAAUUUUGCUUCUUAUUGAUUUGGCUCUUCAAGCUAUUCUAAAGGUAGGAAAUAAAGAAAAGACAGUUUAAGUUAGGACGUCUUUGCCAUUAUGUACAUCAAACACUAUAUACUACUAUUUAUUUUCAUCAUUUAUGUUUCUAGUCCUAAUGAUUUUAAAUGCGAAACAUGAGCUAUAAAUUACCUCAAAACAUUAAUAAGCACUGCCUGCCUAGGUCCCCAUAAUUAGAAUGUGGCAUGCUAGUAUUCUUUUUGUUUGAAUGUUAUAUUAAAGCAUGUUAGCUUAAAAUUUUCUAAUGCCCUGUAUGAUUCGUACAAAUAUCACUACAGAGUUUUUUUUUUUAGUUAAUUUUUCUCUAAUAGGAGAGGGGGAUGGAAUUUAAAACACUGGAAAAGGAACAGUAUGACUCGUUCUGAAAGCUAAUUCCUCGAUGCCUAUAAUUUUUUAAAUCUCGACUUUAAUCACUUAACUGUAAAGUUAUCCCCACACAAACUAGCCUAAACUUUUGUUACAUUAUCCUAGGAAUUCUUGCUGUGUGCACACAACAACAAUCUAAAUAGUUGAUGGCAAUAGAAGAGUUUGUGUAUCAUAUCCAUUCUGAUGAUUAUCCUGCCCAUCUCCAUUAACAUAUAUGCACACCAAAUUUCCCUCUCAGCACGCAAUAUUAUAGAAUCCCUUUAGUGUUUGGUGGGAGAUGUUGUUACUUGCGGGUGGAAAACAUAGGAAUCGGUUGGCUAAUUGAGACAGACUACUAAAGGAUUGGAUCCAAAGAUUAUUACUAAAAUACUAAAGGCAUAAAAGGGUACCUAACCAUGAAAAGCAAUAUACAACCUUUAUAGCAUAUUCUCGGUUGUAAGCACAAAAAUAUUGGAUAUUCCGUACUGGAUUCUACUCGGCACGUUCCGUAUUCGACAAUUCAUUCUUGAAAUGACUACAAUUGAUUCAUUGUAGCCUUGAGAGUUUACACUUUCAGUCCCAGCCCCCACUUUCAAGAAAUUUGACCUUUUCCUUUUUUGAGUGAUUGGAACUAGCCGAAAUCUGAUUCAGCAGACAUGCUAGCUCCCUUCAACAUAUGAGAAUAUUCCAAAUCAAAUUCCAAUGCCAUUACUUACUUUAAGGAACCUUCUAUGCCAUGCUGUUUGUCAUGAUGGGGUGGGAGGUCAAGAUUAUACUUGUCAUUUAAUCGUGAUUGUUGCUUUUAAGUGAUUUUUUUGGACGGAACUCCGUCGAUUAGACUCCCACUUCCCUUAUGUUAGACAUGAAUAGGUUAUACAAAUGUUAUCGUUGCAAUAAAAAAAUAGUAACAUUUCUGUACUUUUAAUGUUGUCAUUUCUUUUAUAUAAUCACUUUUUUCAUAUAUAUAUGUAUAUAUAUAUAACUAACUCAAAAUAUUAGAUUAAAUUGUAUAAAAAACAUACAAUAUCAAGCGCAAAUAUGGCCCCAAAUAUCGUAUGAGUGAUAAUAUAUCAUGCAAAUUUUUAUAUAUUUUAUUAUUCAUAUAAUCCUUUUUUUUGGUUUGUUGUUGAGUUACUUUAAAACUUCAUUUUAGCUCCAAUAUAAUUCUAACCCCAAAUAAUCUGCAAUCUAGUUAGCUCAAUAAAACCGAAUGAUAAAAAUCUUUUUCAUUUUCCUCGUGAGUUUUAUAACUUGCUUUUUACUAUCUAUAUAUUAAUUCGUGCCAAACUUGGUUCACCUUUUUUUUUUCUUCUCUUUGCUUUUAUUUUUGUGAGCUAAGACCUGAUUUGGCAAUAAAUCAUAGUAUAUGCUACAAAUGCCAAAUGAAUACAGAAAAAUCUCAAUUUUAUCAAAAGAAAAUUGAAAAAGCAACUUGCCAAACUCAUUAAUAAUUUGCUCCCAAGCGAAUCAGUACCCUAAAAGAAUAUGCGAAAAGAACACAAGGACAUAAUCGUCAUUUCACCCAUUUCAGUUAAGACAGUUUUCCACCAAAGUCUCACUAUUCCAUUCAAAGAAGGGAUUUAAAAAUUAAAACAGCUCAUUUCCCAUUUAAUCACAUGAUUACUCCUUAAUCUCCCCAGUUCAAAUGCUCGCGAACCACUAAAACCGCCCCCAACCAAACCUUAUUUUUUCAUGACCGCCAUCCUGCUUGCGCCACGUGUAUAAAACAACCUGAUCACGAUGUAUGGAUCAUACGUGUCACCAUCUAAACCUUCCUUCCCAGAAAUCCCGUGCACCCGCACCCAAAGGCUAAAACCUUACGUCACCUUUUCUGUCUUUCUUCUCCAACUAUAUAUUACGCUUCUUUUUUUUUUUGUUUCUUCUUUCUGCUCUUAGAGCUCUUUUGGUUUUCCUCUGAAUUUAUUUGUACGUUUACUUAUUUAUUUUUACUGAAUAAUUCAGAAAAAGAGAAAUGUUGACGGAGAAACUUAUCCCGGAGAAGCUUCCAUCGUCGUCGGCGAUGUCAUCGAGUCACUCGCUCCGGUGCCACGGGGAAACGACGACGAGAAUGUUUGAAGAGUUGCCGACGGCGACAAUUGUCUCGUUGUCGAGACCGGACGCAGGGGAAAUUAGCCCAUUGCUUUUAUCAUACACCAUUGAAGUCCAAUACAAACAGGUCCAGACUCUUUUUUCGUUUCUUUUCCUCUUCUUUUUUUUUUUUUUGGUUUUUACGUUUUCUCCAAUCAGAAUAUAAUAUAUGUGAUGCAUUUAUGUGCAUGUUUGUAUGUGGCAUAUGUAUUUGAGGAAGUAGCUAUGUACGCAUGGCGCGAACGGCAUUUCACAUUUUUUUUUUAGAAUUUAAUACUAUAAUACGCAUAUGGCGGGGUCUCUUUUUUUUUUGGGGCUAUUUUUACUAUAUUUAUGCGAGGGGCAAUUUUUUUAUUGCUCUUCUUGUUGGUAUUGAAUAAGUUUGCAAAGGAUAUAAGAAGAAAUGUUGUUUUAUCUUUUUAUUUUAUUUUUUUUGUGUGUUGUUAAUGGAAAGAAUUUGAGUUUUUUCUCUUCUUCUUUUUUUACACCUUUGUUCCAAUGCAAAUAUUUGGUUGGUCGAUAAUUUACUUGGUUAUGUAUAAGCAGCUUGGUGGAAUUUAUACUUGAAUUAAAUCUAUAUUUAUUUCUUAUACACUAAUACUUAUUUAUCGGAAAUUGGGCUGCUAAUUGCUUGUUUGAUGCAUUCCAACAUUUUUCGACAAUUACAUAAUGUUCAUGUACAAUUAUGAGUAUGGAUAUUCCAUGCAUUUUUUCGGUUGUUGGUGUUAUUGUUGGGGGUAGGUAUACAUGGAGGAUGUGAUUAGUAUAAUAAAUCAUAGCAAUAUGAAAAUUCUCAAGUUCUUUUGAUUGUGGAACUUUUGUCACGAUGCAGAAGGUACAUUCUGAAUUUAAAUGAUGCUGAAAGUACUUUUGGAAAUUGUGAUAGAGUUCCUUUUGAACCUGAAGAUGUUUUUUAAGUUUUUUGAGACAAAAAGUGAAUCUUUCAAAUGUGUUGGUUAACAGUGACAAGGUGGCUUUUUUCAAUCCCGUCAGCACAUCAUGCUUGUGAAGGGAACUUCAGUUUGUAGAUUUUUAGGAUUUAAUGGAAAAAUAGCUUUGUUUUGAGAAGGAAUUGAUAAUUUUUUUAAAAAAAAUUCCAUUAAUGCAUUAAGGUCAUGGUGAAUGCCUGGAAUUGAAUAUUAGAGACAGAAAGGCAGGUGGAAGCAUGAGUGUUACGAAAUGUAUGAGAAGAUUCAGGACCAGAAAAAAAAAAUGUACUUGCAGUUACAGGAAUUUAUAUUUUCUUUCUUUUUUCUUUUUUGAGCAAGUCAAGGAAAUCAUGACUGCAACUCAUGUGAUGGAAAACACUAGCACAGUCUCUCUUCUCCAGACCAUUGAAUCUUAAACUGUUAUGUGCCUGUAGAGGCUAGAUAACUCAUUCUUUAAUCCUUACUGGAGCUUUUGAGCUGGGCUAUCCCCACUUCAGAUGUUCCAAACUAAGCUGAUUGGUUAGUGUUUUGCUAGUGUAUGUUAUAGUUUAGAAGAACCAGAAACUGAUCAUGCUAAGGUUGUCGGAUCUUUUUGUCUUUCAUGAGUUAACAUUUAACAACACACUCCUUGCUGAAGAAUAUUUUACUGCUUUUAACCACUUGGUAUAAUUUCUGAAUAAUGCUUUUGGUGUUAAACAUGUUAUCGUCAAAUUUCUUUACUCAGUAUAUGCUUCUAUCCUGUGAUAGCUUUUAUUUGAAGGAUGUUUUUCAUAUGCUUCUUAAUCAUAGUUGCUUUAGCAAUGAACUUCUCUCAUUUCCUUCUUUCCUUGCCUUCUCUCUCUCUCUCUCUAUGUGUACUGUGUGUCCGUCUCUGUUGUCUGUUUCUUUUGGCAGAAGGAAGACUUUAAAGUCUGUCUGUUUGGGUUUUACUGAUUUCAAUAGAGUUCAAAUUGCAUGCUGAUUAAAUGUACUUCAAUUGACAGUUUAAGUGGUCACUAUUGAAGAAGGCCUCAGAAGUUUUUUAUCUACACUUUGCACUGAAGAAGCGUGCCAUUAUUGAAGAGUUUCAUGAGAAGCAAGAGCAGGUUCUCUCUCUCUCUCUCUCUGCAUUAAAUCUAAGCACAGUUGCAAACAGAUAACUAUUUAUUGUUCUUAAUCUCUUACAGUGAUGGUACGUAUUAUAUAAUUUCCUUUUGUGGAUGAUGCCUAAAAUAUGCUAAGGUUUGUAUAUAAAUUUUGCACAAAAAGGUUAAGGAAUGGCUUCAAUACUUUGGAAUUGGAGAUCAUACAGCUGUAAUGCAUGAUGAUGAUGAAGCUGAUGACGGAGCUGUGCCUAUGUUCUCCAAUGAAAGUGUUAAAAACAGGUGAUUGCAAGGGUAUAAUCCUUUAGCUUUUCAAGUAGAAUGUUACACCUGAGUAAUUUGGGAUGUUUUAACUCCUAGAGUUGGUUUCCUGCAGAAAUGUUCCAUCCAGAGCUGCUUUGUCAAUCAUUCGUCCUGCAUUGAGCAGACAGCAGACUGUCUCAGAAAAAGCAAAAGUUGCAAUGCAAGGCUAUCUAGACCAUUUUUUCGGUAACUUGGACAUUGUCAAUACUAGAGAGGUGCAUAGAGAAUGUCCUUGUAUUGGUCUAUAUAUGAAGUAAACAGUUGAAGUUCUUAAUCUCUGAAUUAUUUGUUAUUUCCUCUUUAUUUAUGAGAUAGAUUCAGCUAUAUGUAUAGUUUUUGUUAAACUUUCUCUUCACAAUUAUAUGUACAAGAAGUAGUGUGAAAUUUCACUUUAGGACUGAAAGCUUUUGGUCAAAGUAUGGCUGUUCUCACUAACGUUACCAGGAGUAGGAAAUUAAACUUUGUAUGUUAUCUUGCCCAUUUCUUUAUCUGCGAUAUAUUCAAGCUACAAAUCAUGAAAGCUUCUCUUUUUGCAGUUUAUCAAAUAUCUGAAUAAAAUAAAGAAGACCCAAAACUAAGAUAAAUAGUUUGUGCUCCAAUAGUAAACCUGAAAGUAGCUGAAAUUUCCACUUAUACAUCAUAGUGACAGAGAUUUUAUGGUAUUUUAAUCUCUUUUUCCCCAAGGAUAUAUUUUGAAGAUAUUCUUAUUUCAUUUUCAUUUUAGCAGUUCUUUGUGUUUUAUUACUGAUAUAUUUUGAUAAUCAUGCAACUUAUCUUCUUAAUUCUAGGUUUGCAAGUUUUUGGAAGUUUCUAAAUUAUCAUUUUCACAAGAAUUUGGUCCUAAGCUAAGAGAAGAUUAUGUAAUGGUUAAGCAUUUGUCAAGGACGCCAAAGGAGGAAGCAUAUGCAAGGUGUUGCUUGUGUCAUUGGACUGGCUGUUGUAAUAGCAAGUGGCAGAAGGUAAAUGCUCUUGCUAGUAUUGGUAUAAGCAUGAAUAUGUGUAAACUAGUUAGGCAUAGUUUUUGUAGCAGUGGAGGUUCAAAGAGUACUCAUAUAGUCUUCUACAAAGUUAAUGAGCUAACAGUGGAUCUUUUUUAAGUUAAAUUGAUUCAGUUAGUGUUAUAUAAUCUUGAUGAAACAUUCAUCUGUUGCUGUGACUCUUUCUGCUGCUAGUAGUCCUCUGUCUGUGAUAUUUUUCCAAAGAAAGAAUCUUUUCCCAGUUUUUACCUAGUGGUUAUCAAAACUGGAGGUUCAAAUCAAUUCAGGCUAUAUGAGAUAUUUGCUGAAUCACGUCGUUUCCUCAACAAAACAAAUUUGAAAAUUUGUUUUGGAAAGCCAAAUAGUAUUGUCGAAUUACAUUGUUUCCAAGGGUAUGGAUAUUUUUAUUUGUAAUUCUUGUUGCGGCUACUGGUUUAUGUUCAAAGACUAAUAUACUUGAGUGAUGUCCUCUCAUUUUGGAUUCAAUGACCUGUAGCUGAUAUUCAGAUAUUGUAUUAACUAUGCUCUUCUCUAAAAGGAAAUACCAUAUGGAGAUAUUUUUCUUAUGGUUGAUAAACAAAGACAGAAUUUGUUAAUUUGUGACUUUAGAUUUUUAUGAUGGAAAUAUUUGUCCGUGCUCAUAACUUUUUCAUCUUAUUCAUCUGUUGGUCACAGUUACUUAUGCUGCCAUUAUUCUAUGCUCACUAUUAUUUGUAAAGCUGAUAGUAUCUCACUAAAAUUCAGAUUUUUGUGUUCUGUCAUGAUUCUUUUUUAUUUCACUCUGUGGUGGAUGGAUAUACAUAUGAGCAGGAUUGGGUUUGAAAACAUAGGCAUUUGAAGGUAAUUUUCAGGUUUGGAUUUGAUCAUGUCAUUAUUGAAUUUACUGUUGACUGAAUGGAUCAACGAAUCUUCAAUUAAGUGCCUUGAAUUGUUGUUUCAAUAAUGUCUCCUACUUUCUGGGCUUUAAUUUUCAGAUUGUUUAUUUUAUUGCAUGACAAAAGACAAUCUACUUACAGGUUUGGGCUGUCUUAAAGCCUGGAUUCUUGGCUUUGCUGAAGGAUCCCUUUGACACGAGCCCAUUGGAUAUAGUUGUCUUUGAUGUACUUCCAGCUUCAAGCUUAGAUGGAAAGGAUGGAUCAUGUUUGGCUGAAGAGAUAAAGAAACGAAACCCAUUGCAUUACACGUUUAAGGUACAAAUGAUGGUUUAGUUUCAAGACAUGAAAUAUUCUGUGAACUUAUACUCUAGCUUGUUCUGUCAUCAUGCUAACUAGCCUUCUUUAUAUUCGAAGUAUGUUAGACUAGAUUGCUCUUGCUAUGCUCUUGAUGUGCUUGGUAUAAGAUAAUCAUGCAUUUUUGAAUUGCAAUUAUAUAAUAAGAAAGUAUUUAUUAUUCUUUGCCACACAAUAUACACUAACUUAGGUUUUUUUUUGGAUCUCUUAUGCCUCAAUUUUAUUGUGUAAAUCAUGACAUUAGAAAGGGCCUCCUUAAGGGAAUUUGUUAGCAUUAGAAAUCAAACAAAAUUUUUUUUCCCAAAUAGUUUUCAUGCCUGUCAACUUUACUUACAGGCUUUUAACUUUUUAUCAUCAUUGUAAUGGACAAAGGUUUCCUGUGGAAGUCGUAGAGUUGACUUAAGAAGCACGAGUUAUGCUAAAGUCAGAAAUUGGGUUUCAGCAAUAAAUAAUGCUGGUCUUAGUCCUCCUGAAGGUUGGUGCCAUUAUCACCGUUUUGAUUCGUUUGCUCCUCAAAGGGGCUUGACUGAGGAUGGGACUCAAGCUCAAUGGUUUAUAGAUGGAAAAGCUGCAUUUGAAGCAAUUGCUUCAUCCAUAGAGAAAGCAAAAUCCGAGGUUUAAUAUUCAUCUUGCUAUAUGACAUUCUGGCUUCAAUUUGUGCCAAUUUUAACCGCUAAGACCUAAAGUGACGCGAAGUUGCCUACAGAUAUAUAUUACUGGAUGGUGGCUUUGCCCUGAACUGUACUUAAGACGUCCCUUCCACGAACACUGCUCUUCUCGCCUUGACAAGCUGCUUGAAGUCAAAGCAAAGGAAGGGGUUCAGGUGAAAAUAGAAGACCAACUUUUUUUACUUUCUCUAUUUACAUGAUAAACUAUGCAUUUGAAAAAUUUAAGAUUGCAACUAAAGGAAGUGCUUCAUAUGAAGGGUAGCUUUGUAGUUUAGAGGCAUGAGGUUUUUGUUAGAGCAUAAGAAGUAUCUGAGUGCUGUGGUACGAGCUUAUACAAUUGCAGGUUCUUUUGAAUACUGAUGACAUCAUCCUGCAGACCUAAUUGUAAACUAUCUGGGUAAAUAAUCUUUAGUAUUCUUAUGAAAAAUACUUAGAGAAGAAGUUGAUCAAGUAAGAGUUUUCGGUAUCUAAUUUCACUACUUGCCUUAGUUCUCUGUAGUUGCAGAAUAGGUAGCCCUCCUCAAUAUAUAUGGUCAUGCAUCUGUGAUUCAGAGAAUUAAAAGUCCUUUUUUCCUUUAGGGAUUGAAAUCUAAUAACAAUGAUUGUGGACCCAUUACUCUUAAUUUCAACUAAAUGUGUAUCUUGAUAGCUACACUAAACAAAGGAAAUUUACCAAUUGGACUAUAUUUGCAUGUUAUUUUGUAUUCUCUUGACUUUGAAUAAGUCAGAUAAAUGUAACAUAGCAUUCAGCCCAGCCUACAUGAGGUAUGCUAUGUGGAUCCUUUUGUACAAUCAAAUUUAGCAACAGCCAUGCUCUUGUCUUAAGUCAGGAGCACCUUUUUCUUCUCAAUGACUAUUUAGUCUUUCACCUUCUUACUACUCUAUAGCUCAUCCAUCAACAUGUCAAGCAGCUCAACUUUUGAUACUUGUAAGGAUGUCAUCCUCAUGUUUGAGAGCUGCAUUAAAAUGAAAUUAUCUAGAAGCCUUUCUCCUUGGGUGAGGAGAUAUGAAAGAUGUAUCUUUUUAUUUUUUAGUAUUUUUAACGCAUAUACCAUCAAUGGCCACAAGUACUUGGUAUUCAUGAAUUUGUAUAUUUUGUGCUUUUGCAGAUUUACAUUCUUCUCUACAAGGAGGUUUCUGUAGCUUUAAAAAUUAACAGCUCGUAUAGUAAAAGGAAGCUUCUUAGCAUCCAUGAGAAUAUCAAAGUUCUCCGCUACCCUAACCGUUUUCCAACUGGUGUUUACUUAUGGUAUGCAACUACUUGAGCAGUAAACUGAAAAUUUUCGUGUGAUUUGACUUCAAAUGUCCAUAUUGCAGCUGUUGCAGAUUUUUUUUAUUUUUUGGUCAUUAAAGCUUUCCAGUAUUAUCCUUUUCCCCCUUUUCAUGUGAACUCAUUCAAUGCCUUGUAAAUAAUCAGGUCACACCAUGAAAAGCUGGUUAUUGUAGAUCACUAUAUUUGUUUUCUUGGAGGACUGGAUUUAUGCUUUGGGCGUUAUGAUACGAAUGAACAUAAAGUGGGAGACUACCCCCCUUUUGUAUGGCCUGGAAAGGACUACUACAAUCCCAGGUAAAAAUCUUGUACUUCUUUACUCAGCCAACUGGUACUCUAGAAUUUCUGUGAGCAUGCCAACCUUUUAACUUGUCAAUUGAUGGUAGUUAGUGACAGAUGAGAUUCAUGUGGACUUCUAUUUUAGAAGAGAUUGACGUAGAGCUGGAAGUUGAUCUGUAGCUCAUAGAUGAUUUAUUAUCAGCUGAAUGGAUGCAUUUGAGCAAUAGUUAUGCAUUUAUGGCAUAUGGUUGACUGAUUAUCAGGAAUCAGGAAUCAUUAUUGAUGCAUAUAUAUAUAUAUGAUUGAGUCAACCUAGCGAAAUGUCUAGAAAUGGUUGAACUAUGAUAUUACUUAUUAUAGAAAAGCACUUGGCAACAUACUUACCUUGAUCUCUUGAUGCCAAAAAUGUGUCAGGAAUGGAAUUGUGUACUCUCACGUUACAUCAGUUUGUUCAUAAUAUUACCUAGGAUGACUUAAUUUAACUUAGUUAAAAAACAAAAACAAUGACUUCUUCUUGGAAUGGCCACUUUUUCAAAAUAUGUUGUAGAAGUGUGCAAUAUCACUCGUCACUAAUUUAGAUUCCAUUUUCACAAACUCUUGAAAGCUAGUGUGCUGUUUUCAGUAUUUAUGCAUUCAAGUGUACUUUUGUCCUCUUAAUUCUUCACAAAUUUCAUAUGAACCUUGUCUAUCAGUUCUAAGGUUUGCUAUCAGCUUCCUUUUUAACAAUUACUAUUCAUUCAGGGAAUCUGAACCAAAUUCUUGGGAAGACACCAUGAAAGACGAGCUUGAGAGAAGAAAGUACCCUCGAAUGCCUUGGCAUGAUGUCCAUUGUGCUCUAUGGGGACCACCAUGUCGAGAUGUAGCCAGGCACUUUGUUCAGCGUUGGAACCAUGCUAAGGUUUACAUCUACAUCUACUAUGCAUUCUAUGUAAAAAAUUUCAAUUGCUCAUGCAUUGAUUAUCCAUCCAGAGGAACACAGCUCCAGAUGAACAACAAAUACCACUUCUUAUGCCUCAGCAGCAUAUGGUUCUUCCACAUUACAUGGGAAGGAGUGAGGAGAUAGAGAUAAAAGAUAAGGCUACUCCAGUGAAUAAUAAUUACUUAGACAGACAGGAUUCAUUUUCUUCACAGUCCCCUUUAGAAGAUGUCCCAUUGCUAUUGCCCCAGGAAGCUAAUGGCCCUGACUUUUCCAGCUUAGAUGACAGAUUAAGUGUGCCAGCUUCCGAUCAAUACCAACCGAAUCAGCAUGAGGCCAAAGAAGGUUUUAUAUUCGCCUUCCAUAAAUUCACAGUUGGAUCUUCUGUAUCAGACCUUAAAUUGAAAGUCGUUUGAGACGAAUUUUGAUCACAUACUUUUAACCUGAAACAGAAAAGGAUGAAGCUGGAGCAUCUGACUUGGAAAAUUCAGAUGACUGGUGGGAAAGACAAGAGCGAGUUUGUCAGGUUGUUUCACCUGAUGAAGCAACUCAAGUGGGUCCUCGUACUACAUGUUACUGUCAGGUUAGAUGUAGUCCCCAUUAAAAUUCAAUUACAUGUUUCUUUUACUGUAUUAACCGCAAAAUUGAUCUCCUUUUCCUUUUGACUUCCAGAUUUUUAUAGUAUUGUUUGAAGUUAACUAUUUUUAAACUUACAAUAUGUAAGAAAAGAAACUCUAUAUAAAAUAUGUAAAAGAAUUAGUGGUUUCAGAAACAGAGUUCUUGACUAAGAAUAAGGUUCUGUAUCAGAAACAAGUUGCUCUUAAUUUUCAAAUUUCAACUGUUUAACCAUUUUUGUGUUCAGAUUCUGAAUUGAACCACCAUUUCAGAUCUGAAAGCCUUGUGAGAAGAGAAAGUAAACUACAGGGUAGAGGAAUAUUUUACAGAAUGAGAAAUUGGGCAUGAAACACAAUGCUGUUUCUUUCCAACUUCAGGAAAUGGCUCCUAUAUCAAAAAGUUUAACAUCUUGUCGUAUAACUGUUUCUAGUCUUGUUACACUUUUGCUUUCUGGAAUGUUAUGUGCUGAAUUUGAGCUCACUCGUGGUUUUCAUUCUGAUAAAUUGUAGAUCAUUAGAAGCGUAAGCAAUUGGUCUGCUGGAAUAAGUAGAACUGAAGACAGCAUUCACAGAGCUUAUUGUUCUAUGAUAGAGAAGGCGGAACACUUCAUUUACAUAGAGGUGAAAUCAACUAUCUGAAUUACUAUAAAAGUGGUUAUAUGCUGCUGUAUCUGAGUCAGUUUUGGAGAAAUGACCAACAUAUCUUGGUCUGGCUUCAAUCAUUAACAUAUCAAUGGCAAAAAUAGCGACAAUAUGGAUAAUAAAUUGGACUUUUAAGUUUUUUAAUUCUUUGCAAAAGCGUCUUCCAUGUAUUCCUAUUAGACAGUUUUCUUGGAUUAGGAGUUACAGAAAAAAAGCUUGAUGUUUUAAAUAUCGGGCAUUGGAGUUAAUGAACUGUCCAAAAGCAACUAAAUAUUGAUUAACUUCAUGAGGCAAAAUCCUCGUUGUGUCAAAUGCAGAGAUCAGUAAUAAGACCUUUGUGAUCAAGAAAUGCUCUGAGACGCUCUGAGACACUGGAUAAAUUUAGUUGAUCUAGCACAGGGAUUCAUCUUAGGUUCUGACAUUAGCACACUGAUUUGUGAUGAAAUAUUUUUGAACUCAGAUGUGAUGUCUUCUCUUUAUGGUUAACUCUUUCUUCAUAAAAGCUUCUGGCAAUUAGAAACCAUGUAUACUUGUCAAGGAGGUGCAUAGAUAAGUGAGAUUAUGGAAAUACUUGCAGUGUGGAAAGUUUGUAUGUUGUUAGCUGAUACAGGGUCCGUUCAUCCCAUUCAGAUUUCUGAGGCUUCUUAAAGAAGGCUAAUUGUAUAUGUUUUCUGAGAAUGUUAAGGGAACUUUCAACUUGAAAUCUAUCCUGAAAAUGCACCUUUAGAGUUUUUUAAUGAAUUAGAUAUUUUCAAAUUCUCAUUCGGCACAAGUACUUAAAGGUGGUGUCAGAAACAGGUGCAUCUCCGCAGAUAUUUUUGCUUUAUUUGUUUAAGAAAAUAUAGCAUGCCGUGACAGUAAGAAAGUGAGUGCAGGCAGUUAAAUGUUUUUAUGGCUAAAACUCUCCGGAAGUGAAAACCUUCAGUGGCCAAAAUCUCUAAAGGACCAGUUCUUUAAAUCAGUAGAGAGAAAUUUGUAUUGAGUCAGUAAAACAAGCAUAUUGGUCCUUGAGAAAGAAGACAAACUAACCAGAGGACCCAAGAAAGUAAUAUAAUCUUGUAAGUUAAUUCAUAAGCAUGUAGCUUGGCUUGUGCUAGUUUCCUUGCCUAGAUUGGUCAUUAAUUUUUUAAUUUCUUGUCAUUUACACGAGUGGUGGAAAGAAAAAAUGUAAAUGAAUCUAAUUAUGUCUGUCAUUUGUGGGAUUCUGCUUUUAGAAUCAGUUUUUCAUAUCAGGUCUUUCGGGUGAUGAUACCAUUCAGAACCGUGUAUUGGAUGCUCUGUACAAGCGUAUACUCCAAGCACACAAAGAACGUCAGUGUUUCAGGGUUAUAGUUGUUAUUCCUCUCUUACCGGGCUUCCAGGUAGGGCUGAUUUUCAUUCCACAAGAUAACAUAACUCUGUAUUGUUGCCUCUUACGGCUAUUUGUCAUGUAUCAGGGAGGUCUGGAUGAUGGUGGUGCUGCAACCGUACGAGCCAUCAUUCAUUGGCAGUAUCGAACAAUUUCCAGACCAAAAAACUCGAUAUUAGACAACCUUUAUUCUUUGCUGGGUGAUGAAACAGAUAACUAUUUAUCUUUUUAUGGUUUAAGGAACCAUGGCAAGCUUUCUGAUGGUGGUCCAGUGGUCACAAGUCAGGUAAUAUCUUGCAUACAGAUUUUCAACUGAUUAAUGUAUUAUGCUUCCUUGAGUGGGAUUGCAUACUUAAAGAUCUACAUACUUUAGCAUUUCAUCACAUCCUGACGGAAUACCUUGCUUUUGAUCCUUUAGCACCACAGCCACACCAUGCCAAGCAAAUACACUCAACUAUUGGUACUCUAUGGAGUUUUUCCUGUCUGUCUUCUUAGUAAUUCUCUAUGUUAGUGGUAUUUUUUUCCUUUCUCGUUGUCUUGCACACUCCCAGGACAUUAAGUAAACUGCCUUGAUCCACAGUUUAGGAGUGCCCUAGAUAAUCCUAGCACAGUACUCUUCUGGUUCUCUUACUUUAAUAACGUCAGUCCUUGAUCUAGUACUUAACAAAACAACUAAUCUAGGAAGUUAGCCCAUCAACACAUUCAGACUUGCGACAUACUCUAGCACAAAUUACUUCCAGUACUCCACUGGUGAAGUCUUCAUAAGGGAUGAAAUAUUACGCUAGGAGUGAAUAAUUGUUUUUGUCAAAAAUUGCUUGUCCAGAUUAUUCCCAGAUGAAAUUAAUGGUUUAACACUGGAUUGUUGGCUAUUAAUUAUUCUCUUUAAUCAACUCUAUAUCAUUUUCCUUCUAGGUGUAUGUCCACAGUAAAUUGAUGAUUAUAGAUGAUUGCAUAGCCCUGAUUGGAUCAGCAAACAUUAAUGACAGAAGUCUACUUGGGUCAAGAGACUCUGAGGUGAGCACAUUCUGUUUUGGACAGACUUGCAGAAUGAAAGUUCUAUCAUUUCAUGUGUCAUAGAUACCAUAAAAUUCUGCUACUACUUAUGAAUGAAAUUAUUCUUCCUGUAUUAAUGAAAUUUAUAUGGGCAUGUGCAAGAUACUGUGAAAUUACUUUUGGCAAGUUUCUGACAGUUGGACAUGAAUACUCACAACAACAAAGUUCUUCUGUAAAUGCUGUUAAGAUUGAAAGCUAAACAGCUAGUUUUGGCAUGCUACUGCAUACUAAUUUUAGUUUUAUAUUCAGUUGCCUUGAGACAUGAAAUCAGUUGAUUUGAUUGGUUCAUUGGUUUGGUAAUAUGUCACUAAGAUAACGUUUAUGCAUGUUUAAGAAAUUGCUUUAGCACCAAACAAUCUUCUAUGAUAUCAAACCAGUGCUUAAUUUUUUCAAUUUGAAUGUAUCUUGUGUAGUUGGUUUUUCACCUUACCCUGUAGACUCCCUAUCUCUGCCAGAACUCAAAAAUGCAAAAUGUAUGAUAUUUUCUUGUUCUAGGUUGUCCAUAAGUUUCACUGGAUAAAGAAACUGCAGCUUAUCUAUCAGCAUUCUCCUGAACCCAAUCAUCUCUACAAGUCCACUUGCUGAACUCCUUUGCCUAUACUUAGUGCAAGUAAAAAUGAUAAUUUUCACACUGACGUUCUUUUCUUAGAUUGGCAUGCUCAUUGAAGAUAAAACUUUAGUGGAAUCAUCAAUGAAUGGGAACUCAUGGAAGGCGGGAGAAUUUUCUUUCAACCUACGGAUCUCUUUGUGGGCGGAGCAUCUAGGCCUGUGCUCUGGGGAGGUUAGUGCUAUUGACUGUUGACAAUUUAACUUUGCACGCUAGUUCAGAUUUUAGAAUUUUUCUUUUUAAAAACCUCGCGAUAAUUCUUACGGCUGUUCUAUAAGCUUAAAUCAACUUUACCAAAAGAUAUUUACAUGCAUCAUCCAUCUUUUGAUGUUUGCCAGAUUGAUAAAAUCAGAGAUCCGAUAAUUGACAGUACAUACAAGGAUUUGUGGAUGGCAACUGCAAGGGUGAGAAUAUUUUGCCAUUAAAUGAUAGCUUUUCGGUGUCAAGUACUCAUACAUUGUCUACUUGACAGUAAAAGUGUUUUUGUCCCUUCUGAAUAUAGGGUGCUGAACAGUUGAACAUACAGCAUAAUGAUUCUCCGUCUUACUCACAAACUUUUGAGUCGCUGCUGAAUAUAGGGUUUAGAGCAAUUGAAAGCAUGGUAACAUAAUUCUACACACUAGUAUCAAAAUUGUGUCAAUAUCCUGCCUUUUUCCUUGGCAUUGAGAGGAAAAGCAGUCCACAAAGCUUCAUAUAGCUAUAUGGUCAUGGAAGGGGUUAUAAUCUGCAUGUCACACGGUUUAGCUUUCUCAACUGCCAAUAAUCAUCUUAUCCACUACGUGUUCUUGGAGCUUUGAAAUCUUUGACAAGAUCAUAUCUCAAAUAUGAACCACAAACAUUGAGUUAAUUUUCAAUGCCUAAAUCUAUUUGCCAAAAAAUGUUGAUGUCCCAGACCAACUAGGGAGAGGAUUCAACAGAUUGAGCAUCACACAAAAAAUGUAAGGUGUGGUGAUGCUUCAGAAUUUUAUUCCACAAAGUUUAGGGGAAAAAAAUGAAAAGAUCCUUGGGUACAGAAGCAGAUUGUAGAAGCUUGAUUAACUUUUGAUAUUUUAAGCCACAGAAUUCUUAAGUUAUGCCUUUCCCUUUUAAAUAGAAACUUGAUUUCUCUUCACCUUCCAAAGAAGCAACUAAUGAUGUUCUUUUUAACAGUCAAAUGCCAGGAUCUACCAAGAUGUAUUCGCUUGCAUCCCAAAUGACGUUAUCCACUCAAGGUAAAAAAGGGUUCUGUGUCUAUAUUCUUGCUUUUCUCUUUUUCCUUUGUUUUGUUGUCUUCACUCGCUUGGAUGGUUUCUCACAUAUACAACUGACAUGGUCCAAAAUGCAGGUCUGCUUUUAGACAAGCUAUGAGUAACUCAAGGGAGAAAGUUGGGCAUACUACCAUAGAUUUAGGAGUAGCCCCUGAGAAGGUAGAACAUUUUGAGAAUGGGGAAGUAAUUCUUAUGGAUCCAACUAGAAAGUUGGAGUCAGUAAGAGGAUUUCUGGUUUCCUUUCCCUUGGAGUUCAUGUGUCAAGAAAAAGAUUUGAGACCAAUGUUUAUUGAGAGCGAGUUUUAUACAUCCCCUCAGGUCUUUUAUUGAGAUAGCAUCAUAAAAGAAGAAAAACGCACUGUACAGGAAGUGUAUAUAAUGCAGAAAUGAGGAUAGUUAGAUGUGUGAUUUUGUUGAUUAUGAUUUUUUUUUCAUUUUGAUAUUAUUUGUCUACAUAUGUAACAUCAAUAGCAACAUUGUAAAUCAUUCUUUGAAACUUUUAAAUAAAUAUUCGAUGUGAAAUCAAGGUUAAAAAUCAUUUUGAUCUUUCUAAUUCAUUUCUUCACAUUUAAUAGUAAAUAUAAAUUUAUAACCAUCAUACUGGUUUUUAUUUUUUGGUAAACAACUUAGAAUAUGUUUAAAAAAAAUUCACGUAAACUUAAAAUAACCAAAUUAUCAUUUUAUUAUACAAAUGAGAUCUGUAGUUCUCAAAUUAUAGUAUAGAUGCAUAUAAUAUUGACAUGUAAUUAUAAUGUGUGUGUAUAUAUAAUUAAAUAUAAAUAUUUACAUUUUUUAAUUUAUUUUAGUGGUGGGGGAUUGAGGACGGGGCGUCCUUCCUUCCCUUGCCCUAUCUAAAACGGAAAGAGAAUCCCCUUAAUUUGAACCUUCAGUCCACCCAAUUAUUCCGUUCAAUUAUUUUACCUACAUCUCUCCCUCCCCCUCCCCUCGAUUACCAUCCCUAGUUGUCACUGGCGAAGUCAAAUGUAGUUGAGGGUAGACAAUUAUCUCCCUCCACCUCAAAUUUGAGAAAGUUUUAUUUUAGACAUAAAGCUUGAAAAUUUUUAAGUUGCUCCUUUAUUUGCCCCCUAAGAUAUUUAAAAUUCUCAUUCUUAUCAACUUUGCCCCCCAAUGUUUUUGAAAUUCUCUUUCUUAUCUGUAUUGUCCACUCUAAAAUUUUUUAAUCCCUCUUUUUUAUUUACAUUGACCUCCUUAAUAAAUUAAAAAUUCUUAAUCCUUACACUUCGCUAUAGUGCUGGAUCUAAUUAAGAUUAGUUAUUGAUGUAACUUCAAGAACAAACUCUUUUUACGUUUUCAAACUACCAUUACAUUAUUACACAAUUUAGAUGUCAAAAUAUAAUUGACAAAAUGGAAAAAAGUAUGUUUAACAUAAGCAUCUUUUGAUUGCAAAUUUACUAUGAUCAUAUUUGAUGUAGUGUCGAAUAUUGAACUCCCUAACCCUAGGGUUCUGACUCCACCACUACUAGCUGCUAAGUUAGUUCAGCUAUGGAUUAGGUGGAUUUGGGGACCGUCCCUGCACGGUUAAGGGCCAAGAUUUGCCCUCAAAAUUUUGUGCGGCUGAGAUUACACCAUGUAACUCGAUUUCCGCGCCAAGUGUGGGGCCCACCACUAUCUGUUGUGAAAAUACAUCCUGUGAAAAAAAAGUUACAUGAUGUACAAAGAAAGUUACGCGCAGUUGAUAAUGACUAAAAUUGCUCUGGACGGUUGCACCUGCAACCGUCCGUGCCCCGAGUCCGGAUUAGGUCGACCAAAACUAAGGCCACACAGCGAAGGACUCAAAGAUUCAAUUUUGCUUUUACCAUGUUUUCUUUUCCAUCCUCAUCAUUCUUACCUCUAACUACUAGACUCAAGAUUCGAACCUAAAACUUGCACCGGAGCGAGGUCAUAAGGAGCCAAACGGAGGAUUCACUUACUAGUGGGAAAGGAAAACAAAUUUUUUCCGUUCAUAAAACCAUUCAACACAUCUGCAAUGAAACAUUUUGUCUUUUUGUGAGAAUACUAUGAUUGACCUAACCAUCAUACGUCUUCCCUUUGAAAUAUUUCUUUCCUCACUGAACCCAUACGUCUUUAUGUGAUUAUCCAGGGAUCUUUAUUAUCUGAUAAUUGAGUAAUGCAUCCCUGCGAGAUAAAAUGAAGUAUUAAUUAUCAGAAAGCAUACUAGCAAUAUGGACGGAGAGGUCCUAUGGUGGAAUGUUAAAAUACAGAAUUUCCUGCUUAUUAGCAUCUGAAGUCUGAACGUUAAAUCAGUCGUAAAAUUGUCGGCAAGCACAAGUACGUAACAGUACAGUGUCCUUUGGCGGAGUGAGAGUGGAAUUACAUUCUGGUUUCAUUAGCUAAUCACGUGACUACUUUAUGCUUUUUUUUUUCCCAAAUUUUUCUACUCGAAUUAGGGCCAAAAACAAGGCUCAACGAGUCAGACAAAAGUAUGUUCAAGAUUGGCUUGAAGAUUAAAAGAAAUGUUUGAACUUGGCUUUUGUUUGAAAAUUUUUUGAGAGAAACUGAUCGAGUUUGGUUUGAAAUUUCAGACGUAUAUUCACAGAAAAUUUGGUUUGACUCGUCAAAAUAUCGAAUUCAAGUACAUACAAUCAAAGUUUGGCUUGACUUGAAAUUUCAUGUUGUAUAAUAUAGAGAUUUUCACCCUAAUUUAUGGUUUUUUCCCCUUAAUUUUUGCUCUGUGAUAUUCAAGAAAUCUAUUAUGAUGAAUUAGAGAUGUAAUUAAAGUCAAUUAUGCCUAUUCAAGAGACAAAAGUAUUAUAUGCUUGCUAUUGUAGAAGAUAAGCAAUAUACGGGAAGGAAAGAAGUGAAAUUAAGAAAGGAAACCAUAGGUAUAUUUUUAUGAAAUUUACCGGCCUUAUACAUUCUUAAACAUAUCGAGCCAAAUAAUAUGAAGAUCGUGAUUAGUUUGUUAAUAUUUUCAAACUUGAAAUCAUGUUCAAACUUGGAUUGAUACCUAAAUAAACAAGCUUGAAUGAACCUGGUUCAAACCGAGUUCAAGUCAAGUACCAAAUUGUUUGAUUCAAUUUACAGCCCUUACUCGAAUUGAGUUUUAAAAAGCCUACAAGAAAGGAAAGCUUUUGCCAAUUUCAGAGAUGCCAUAUUCUUGGGUAUAAUCUGUGAAAAUGGUAACAAAAACUGAAAUGAUUUCUUUUACCUUUGUCAUAACUUGUAAUUGAGGUGCCAAAUAAUUAAGAUAAUCAACCUAGUUCAUCCUCUCUCCACUUGUAAACACAUCUUGUCCAAAAGAGAGAUUAAUAUUUGCCUGCGUGUGGUUCAUGUCGACCAAUAAAGAUAGGUCUGAAAUCAAAUCAGCAGAUCUCAAUUUAGUUCUAAAGUUCUCCCUUUUCUCCUUCUUCUUUCUUGUUUAAUUAGGCUGCUGCAUCAUUAAUCAUCUAUGGAUUUUCAGCCAGAGAGAGUGAGAGAGGCCAAAAGUACAAAGAAAGAUAAACGAGCAAUAUUUUCACUCUUCUCGAAUGCUAUUUGGAUGAAUAUACAGGAUAGAUUUGCUGACAAAGAUCAGAAUUAUGGAAGUAGAGAACUAUAGCAGAAAUAUCAUCCAUGGCAAUACCCCUUCUCUUGCGUCUCCAUGCAUGGGCAGCACAUUCAACUAGACGUUUGGCUGAUUUUGCCCUGUCUGGAGUUGAUGCUACAAUUUGCACUGCUUCUUGGUUGGAAACCACAUCCCA
rnacentral:lncRNA from 1 species